CACACUAUUUCCACAAGCUCUCUCCUUCUUUCUUUUUAUCAUCAAGAACAAGCACCAUCACAAGUUCCUAAACUAGCCUUCUACUCAUCAACUCAACCAAGGACAUGGCAUCCAUCAUACCCGCUUCCUGUGGCUCUGUGUUGAACACCUCCUUCCUCAGGAAGCAGCCUCUGAACCACACAAGCCUCAAGGCAUUCUCCAACGCCAACGCCGUCUUUGGUGUGAAAGGAGGACGUGGAGGCCGUGUGACAGCCAUGGCGAGCUACAAGGUGAAGCUUGUGACCCCAAGUGGAGAGCAAGAGUUCAGUUGCCCAGAUGAUGCAUACAUUCUUGAUGCUGCAGAGGAAGAAGGCAUUGACCUUCCUUACUCAUGCAGGGCUGGUUCUUGCUCUUCAUGUGCUGGCAAAGUUGUGGGUGGCCAAGUGGACCAGUCUGAUGGUAACUUCCUUGAUGACGACCAAAUUGAGCAAGGCUUUGUUCUCACCUGCGUUGCUUAUCCCACUUCUGAUGUUGUUAUUGUCACUCACAAGGAGGAGGAGCUCGUUGCUUAAAUCUUGUCAUCACUUUCCUUUCCCACUUCUGAUGAUGUAUGCUGCUUUUUCUUUUUAUGUCUUGUGCCAUUUCUCAGGAUAUACACACCCAUUAUUAUUAUUAUGCAGUAAUUGAUUACUUCACCUGUAGCAGCAGCUGAACUUGUUUUUGUCACUAUAAUAAUCUUUUCUUUACAGUUUUUGCACUCCUUUCCUCUUUCCUCGGCUUCAAUAAUUGAUUACCCUUUUAUGCAUUACAUAUAUACUAUCUAAAUUUGUGUGCUUUCUGCAUUGAUUUUCAUCCUUCUGUCACAUUGGAGUUAACAAUGAUGAGGGUAACUUGCAUCUUACCAAGAAAUAUUGAUGUUAGACUCAAAAAAAACCCACACAAGACUAAAAAAAAACACUAAAUGAUAAUUAGAACAAGUUUUUAGUUUCUUUUUAGUAUUUGUGUGAGUUUUUUUUUUUGAGAGGUUAACAUCAAUCAACGACGGUGGCUUCUUGUUCUUAACUUGGUACUGAAGAUGGUGUUAAUGUCCUGAGACUAAUUGUAUGGCCAACUUUUUUUUACUUUUGUAUCACUUAAAAGAGAUAACAUAUUUAAUUGUAUCUACAGUACAAGGUACAUUUUUCAUUCUCAACUACUUUGUGUCGGUGCCAAAACAUUGAUUUAAGAAUGAUUUCUAUAUCUAUGCCAUGAAGAGUAGUAAAACUUCAAAUAUGAAACAUAAAUGGAUGAUGUCUUCUGUAGCACAUACUUAUGCUUCUCUCCUUCGCCAUUGAAGGACAGUUUUGGGGGAGAGUGAUUGUAUUCGUCUGUAAGUCUUGAGUCAAUAUUUAACAAAGAAAUUGAGAUGAAAAUUCUGGCAAUGCUAAAAUAUCUGUUGGGUAUGGAUUCAAACCUUAAUUAGGAGCAUUGCUUCUGUGAGAAUUCUGCUGUGAACAUGGAGAUGUUACAAAAUUUAUGACCACAAAUUGGAGCUUGUCAUUCUAUCCUUCUUAACAUUUCAAAGGGUGUGGUUGACAAUGCUAUGAUUCAAUGUUUCGAUAUGGUUAUGGAUUACUUCCAAGUCAUACUCUGUUUUUUUCUCUUAUUCAGACUGGUGUCUUGACUCUUUGGUUUGUAUGAGAUUGAUUAAUUGAUGAAUUACUAUGUUGAGGUUUGUCAUGUGUUCUAUGAGUUGUUAGUUGGAGGUUUUUUGGUGUCUUGUUUUGAGAAAGGUUAAGGUUUAUUUUUCUUUAUAAAGAUUGAACUAUCCUGAAAUAGAGAUGUUAAUGUUUAUUUUUCUGUAUAAAAGUUGAACCAUUUGAAUAGUUCAUAUUUAUUUUCUUGUCGAUAAAAAAAAAUAGCAGUUAAAUACUAUACCAAAGUUUUACACAUGAAUAUACACCAAUAAAAAAAAUAAACAGUUUUUCAUUGGUCAAUUAACAAAUUAAAUAAUUAUAAAAAACAAAGGACUGCGUAAAAUGAAAUUCAACCAUGCAAUUCUGAGUGGAAGUUUUGACUGAAUAAUUCGAAAAAACUAGCAUUUUUCAAUUUAUAACCACGGUUGCAUCUCAUGUAAUAGUAAUAUUCAUAAGCAAAAGAAAUAGAAGUGCAUAACCUACUCUCUGAGAGGGCCUGGAGAGGGUGCUCUUGGAACAAAGUUUUGUAACUAUUGAAGAGCCAUUGAAAUAUGCUACUGUUCUGACCUCAAGUCAGUUGGACAGCAUCGCUAGGGUCAAUCACCGCAUCCGAGGUAUUGUCCGCUUUGAAGGUUGGUGCUCCGUCACGGUUUUGUCCUUAAAAGAUGUCUCAAAGGGUGAAGGGAGGAGGGAGUAUAUAAACUGCCCUUGACCUCGAUUCCUGAGCGAUGUAAGAUUGUAUUGGCAGCCUCGAUUGUGAAGAAUCUGUGGAGAUAACAUAGGCACACAGAAUGAAACAUGGUACAAAAUGUUUAGAUGUUCUUUUUAAGAGGAGAUCUAGUCACAACAAUGAUGGUAAAUGUUGAGUUCAUUAAAUAUAUAACAGUUUUGCAAAGAAAAGAAGGUAGCAUGUGAAGUGAAGAAGAUGAAGAAUGUUACAAAAAUGUAUGGUGAAGGGAAGAUGAAUAGACUUGGUAGCAUUCAACCUCCACAUCUUAUUGCACUUUCAAUGCAUUCAAUUACUUCCUCUACCAUAAAUCCAAUUUCAGUAUAAAAAGAUGAAAAUGUUUUUAGAUAAAAUGAAGGUAAUUAUAAAAAUACAUUUAAGAUUUACUUUUUUGGACAAAUAUCUGGAAUGAAAUUUUGAUUUUAUUUUCGAAUUUUUAUUUCUAGAACACAAUAACCUCUUCUAGAUCUAUUUUUUAAAAUAUAUUGUUUUCAAUUCUAGAUUUUUAUUUCGAGAAUGAAGGACAUUUUAAAAAAUUUAAAAUUGUGUAGGGUGCAAAUUUAAAAUGAUUGAGUGUAUGAAGAAUUUGUCUUUAUCAUAGUUCCCACUAUGUUAACCAACACAAUUGCUUGCUGAAAAUUUUCCUCACUUCGUUUUCUUUACAUUUCGACCUUAUGCAGCCUCAAACGUUAAUUUCAAAAGAAAAAUGAUAGUUUGACAACUCUUAAAGUUGUAUACAACUCUUGAUGUGAUAGGUUUAGAAAUAAAUAUAUAUAAUAAAGGAUAAAUUUAUAAUUAAAUGAUAUAAAAAAGUAUUAAAAAUAAUAGUAUUGGAAGUUGUAAUGUGGUUGUAUAAAAAUUUGAAGUUGUUAAUGUAUCAUUACCCAUUUCAAGAAUACAACUUAAACUCAAAAUUACAAAUAAUGGCAUUACAUUAUGCACCCCAUAGUUUCCCAUAAUUUGAAGGUGCAACCAUGGGCAAGAUAAAAAGACAAAAGUAUCCCUACUUUGGAUUUAUAAAAUGCAUAUUAUACACUCUACAAUUCGAAAUGCAUUUUCAAAUUUGGAAAUAUAUUUCUGAAUUUUGCAUUGUUGAAUGUAUUUUUAGAUUCAAAAAUAUAUUUUUGAUAAUUCAAAAUGCAUAUUUUAUUUUGUAUUAUGAAAUACAUUAAUACUAAAAAUAAGGGAAGUUUGAAAAUUUAAAAUCUAUGGAGGUGUAUGCUAAAAUUAUGGGUUAGCCUACAAAUAAUGGGCCAUUGGAUCCGGGUUGCUUCUUCCUGCACCUCCAUACCUUCUUCUCUCACCUCCAUAGAUUUUCGUAUUUCCAAAACUGCUCUUCUGUAAUAUUUCGGAUUACAUAAUUCGGAAGUUAUUUUUCAAAUUUGUAAUUAGCUUUCGGAUUAUAUAAUCUGAAAGUCUUUUUUCAGAUGCAUGAUUACUUUCCGGAUUACAUAAUCUGGAAGUUUUUUUUAACUUCUGGAUUAUGUAAUCCAGAAGUCUUUUUUCAAAUGUGUUUCCGGAUUACAUAAUCCAGAAGUUAUUUUAUGGGGGUGGCACAAGAAGGAUAAAAAUGUAUUUUUCAUGUUGUGUAUGGAGGUGCCAGAAGAAGAUAUGGAGGUGCAGGAAGAAACAGUCUUGGAUCCGAGUCAAACUUUUUAUCUAUACUUUAUUAUAAGGGCUUUUUCUUCUUACACUUCUUAAUUAAUAAUUGCAUCUCAUACUAUGACAAAAAGGCCAAAAUACCCUCCAUUGCUCCACCAUGUCGUCGUCGUUGCAGCUCUAUCUACACUUCCAUGACGAGUUUUUAAUAUCUUUUAGAUUAAAAAUAAUAUAUGAUUUAUAUUCAUUACCACUUGCAUUAAUUUAUAUGUAAGAUUAAUGUUAACUUAAAUAAAUAUUAAAAAGAUAUUAUAUUAAUAUUAAUAAUUACGAAAUUUAAAAAUUAGAACGUAUUUAAUAUUAUUAGUGUUGGUUAAGUUAACUUUAAUGUCUUUCUUUAAAAUAUUAUUAUUACUAAAAAAAUAUAUUUAAUAUUAUUAGAGUCGAUCUUAAUAUUUUUUUAACAUAUUUUUCAUUACUAAAAUAUAUUUGAUAUUAUUAUAGUCGGUUAUCUUUAUUUUAGUAUUAAAAUAUAUUUAGUAUUAUUAGUAAAUUGUCUGUGUUUACCAAGUAUUAACAAAAGUAUGAAAUAUAAAAAAAAAAUGCGAUAUAUAAUUAAAAGAAUAUUUACAGGUUUUUAUUGUUAAUUAAAAAUCAAAACCUUCUUAAAUCACUUCCCAACAAGAGAUCUUACAAAGGACUGUUUCUUCCUGCACCUCCAUGCCUUCUUCUCUCACCUCCAUAUAUUUUCAAAUUUCCAAAAAUGCCCUUCUAUACUAUUUUGAAUUACGUAAUCCGGAAGUCAUUUUUUAAAUUUGUAAUUAGUUUCUGGAUUACAUAAUCUAGAAGUCUUUUUUCAUAUGCAUGAUUAAUUUUCGAAUUACAUAAUCCGAAAGUCUUAUUUAGCUUCCAGAUUAUAUAAUCUGGAAGUUUUUUUUCAAAUGAAUUUCUGGAUUACAUAAUCCGAAAACUACUAUAUGGGGGUGACAUAAGAAGAAUAAAAAUAUAUUUUCAUGUUAUGUAUGGAAGUGGCAGAAGAAAAGAAGAUAUGGAGGUGAGAAACAGUCCUUACAAAGACUUUCAACACACUCUAUUCCAAUUACAUAUGCACCGUACACGUGGCGCUACUUUCACAACAGUCACAGAUGAAUGUGUAAGAAAUAUCUUGCACAGGAUAAAUCUUAACCACUCAUCAUAGUCUCCUCUUAUUAAAACGUGUUACAUGUGUUUUUAUUAAGGAAAAUGAUUGCUUAACACUCACUUCAUCUAAUCCCACUAAAUAUUAAUAUUUUAAUUUUUUUAAUUUUUUAAUUUUAAUUUUUUUUAACAUUUUAUAUUUUUAUUAAAGACAUUCCUUUAUUUUUAUAAUUUAUUUUAUUAUAAAUAUUAAUAUUUUAUUGCAGUGGAAAUUGGAGUAAGGUGUCUACGAAUAAUACGGAGACACGUGGCAGAUAAGGUUGUACGUGACUUCACAUCAUUUUGUGAUCAGACAAUGCUAGUUCAAAAAGCUCCUUGGUUUGGCUUAUCUAUAAAACAGAAGAAGAAGAAGAAGAAGCAGCAGAAGAAGAAGAAGAAGAAGAAGAAGAGGAGGAGAAUGGCGUGUAUGACAGUAGCUAUGUGUGGCCCUGCCUUGAACACCUCCUUCCUUAGGAGACAUGCAGUGAGUCUGAAUGCAUUCCCCAAGGCCAAUGCAGUGUUUGGUGUGAAAGGAGGAGGUGGAGGUCGUGUCACUGCCAUGGCUAAACACAAGGUGAAGCUUAUCACCCCAGAGGGUGAAAAAACCUUUGUCUGCUCAGAUGAAACCUUCAUUCUUGAUGCUGCAGAAGAAGUAGGCCUUGACCUUCCCUACUCAUGCAGGGCUGGUGCCUGCUCUUCCUGUCUUGGCAAAGUUGUGAAUGGCCAAGUGGACCAGUCAGAGGGUAGCUACCUAGAUGACGAUCAAAUCGAUCAAGGAUAUGUUCUUACAUGUAUUGCUUACCCCACCUCUGAUGUUGUUAUCCAGACCCACAAGGAGGACGAACUCGUUGGAUAAAUCUCCCUUUCCCACCAUUUUCUUAGAAUAUGCUUCUUUUGUUUCAAAUGUGAUGGAGGAGGAAGAUUGUUAUUGCAUGAUCAAGGUAUUUUAGUUUUGUUUUAUGCUGUUAGUUAGACUAUAGAGAAUGAACUCCACCUUCAGAAUCUCAUCAAACUUUUUAUUAUGUGUUGGUUAUUGGUUCAGGGAAUUUGUAGUCACUGUAGUAAUGUUUUCCUUGUUGGUUGAGUUAAGAACUCUGAUGUUAGUUGCUUGUUCUGAAUUCAUGCUGAUCUUAAUGGUGACUUUGAUUCUUAUCUGCACCAUUUUAGAUCUUUUGGGUUGUUGGAAGCUAAGAGUCAUGCACAAUGGAGGGUCUAACUACACCUAAAAUUCAUAUAAGAUUAGAAAAUAAGUUAGUUUACAAACUCAAAUUCUACUCUGAUUCUGAGAAGAGUUUCUGAGGCAUUAUAUGAUAUAAAACAUUACAAUUGAUUUCUCUGUCUGAAUAAAAGAAAUUAUUUGAUAGUAAACAAAUAGGAUUAAACUGUAUUAACUUUAAGUUUAAUUCAACUUCAUAAAAUCGAUUUAUGAGGUGAGAUUUUAUAAGGUGAGGUAUCGAAAAUGAUUAUGAUACUAUAUUAAAGAGUGGACAUUAAAGAGCGAACUUCAAGCUUAACUCAACUUUUCGCUUCCACUUAUAAAGAAUGAAAUGUACUGUUGUUGGAGAUCUCUACUUGAAGAUGCUGGCUUAUGGUUUGAAGCCAUUUCUCUGAUGUAGUUAAAGAAAUUUAGUAUAAGGUAAUAAGAUAGAAGAAGAAAGCUAGGAUUGUCACACUUCAUUCAUUCAUCAAACACAGGAGAUGGAAAUGAGUUUUUAGAUUGAGUUGUCUCCUUUUAAGAAAGAUGUUUUCAUUUUGCAGUAAAAAUGUCCCACAAAUUUUUCAAGAAUUUUACACAAGGACUACUGUGUGAUCAAUACAAAGAAACAGUUUUUAUGGGCUAAUUACUGAAUCAAACAUGGUACAAAAUGUUUAGAUGUUCUUUUUAAGAGGAGAUCUAGUGGCAACAAUGAUGGUGAAUAUUGAGUUCAUUAAAUAUAUAACAGUUUUGCAAAGAAAAGAAAGUAGCAUGUGAAGUGAAGAAGAUGAAUGCUACAUAAAUGUAUGGUGAAGGGAAAGAUGAAUAGGCUUGGUAGCAUUCAACCUCCACAUGUUAUUGCACUUUAUUGGAUGAAUCUUUUGCAUUCAAUCCAUUAAUUGCAGGCAAUUACUUCCUCCAACUAAUUUCAGUAUGAAAAGACGAAAAUAUUCUUAGAUAAAAUGAAGGUAUAUAUAAAAAUACAUUUCGGAUUCACUUUUUUAGAAAGAACAAAUUUUUUGUAUUAGGGAUUUUUUUUAUCUGUAACGAAAUUUUGAUUUUAUAUUUUCGGAUUUUAUUUUUGGAGCACAAUAAUCUUUUCUGGAUUAUUUUUUCAGAAUACAUCGUUUUUAAUUCUGGAAUUUUAUUUUCAGAACAAAGGAUAUUUUCAAAAUUUUAAAUUUGUAUAGGGUAUAAGUUAAAAAUGAUUGAGUGUAUGAAGAAUUGGGCUUAAUUGUAUCACAGUUCCCACUAUGUUAACCAACACAAUUGCUUGCUGAAAAUUGUAUCAUAGUUUGAACACAAUUCACAAUUCCAAAUCCUAAAUCCUAAACCAACACAAUUCACAAUUCUAAAUGUAUUUUCAAAUUUGGAAAUAUAUUCUGAAUUAUACAAAAUAAAAUAAAAUAGAUUAAUGUAUUAUGAAUUAUGCAAUUGAAUGUAUUUCUAGAUUCAAAAAUAUAUUUUAAGAAUUCAAAAUGCAUAUUUUAUUUGGUAUUAUGAAAUACAUUCUAGAAUACUAAAAAUAAACAUCCUAAACUAUGGAGGUGCAGGCUAAAAUUACGGGUUAGCCUAUAAAUAAAUAAUGGGCCAUUGGAUCCAAGUCAAAAUUUUAUUUAUACUUUAUUAUAAGGGCUUUUUCUUCUUACACUUCUUAAUUAAUAAUUGCAUCCCAUACUAAGACAAAAAAGGGAGAUAAUUAUUUCAGAAAACUCGUCAUGAAAAUUAUUAUAUAUGUUUUCGAAAUCUUUGUUCCAUAAAUCCUGUUACAGGAUGUUCGGGAAAGUUUAUUUUUGGAAAAAGUUUAUUCCAAAAUACAUUUUAUAUACUAUUAUGAAUGUGAAUAUUUAUUGUUUAAAUCAUAAGGUUUUAGAUUAAAAAUAAUAUAUGAUUUAUAUUCAUUAUUACUUGCAUUAAUUUAUAUGUAAGAUUAAUAUUAACUUAAACAAAUAUUAAAAAUAUAUUAUAUUAACAUUAGGGAUUACGAAAUUUAAAAAUUAAAACAUAUUUAAUAUUAUUAUAAUUGGUUAAGUUAACUUUAAUAUUUUUCUUUAAAAUAUUAUUAUUAUUAAAAAUAUAUUUGAUAUUAUUAUAGUCGGGUCAAGUAUAAUAUCUUUAUUUUAGUAUUAAAAUAUAUUUAAUAUUAUUAGUAAAUUGUUUGUGUUUAACAAGUAUUAAAAAAAAUAUAAAAUAUAAAAAAAUGCGAUAUUAAAUAACGUGUUACAGACGUAUUACACACCGAUACUCUCGUAGGAUGUCUCUCAUUCAAGUGUCAAAUUCAAAAAAUAUUUGUUGAAUUUCUAACAAUUCUAGCAUGAUUUUAACACAAUUUUUUUAAAAAUAUAAUUUUUUAAAAAUUUAAACUUAUUAUAUAAAUUUUUAUUGUAAUUAUAAAAAUAAAAACCAAAUACUUUUGAAUGAGCUAUGAAAAAAACAUGUUUUUUUAAAAUAAAAAUAAAAAUAAUUGUACAUAUAAAUAUUUAUUAAUAAAUAGGUUAUCGAGGUUUCAUUCUUAGAUGGUAACACCUUAAAUAUGUUGCAAAUAAUGAAAUUUGACAAGUUAUAAUUUUGUAAAUAAGAAAUAAAUUAAAAAAGAAAAUUAAAUUUAUAAUAAAUCUUACACACACAAAAAAUAGUGAAUAUAAUGAGAGAUAGAAUGAUGCCACGUGGCAGAUAGGGUUGCAUGUGGCCUUACCUCAUGCACGUUAUAAGCACACUAUUUCUUCAAGCUCAUGCUCCCAUUUGUUAUCCAUCACCAACAACAACAACAACAAGCUUGCAGUGACCAAUGGCUUCGAUCACACCCGCUUCCUGUGGCUCUGUGUUGAACACCUCCUUCCUCAGGAAGCAGCCUCUGAACCACACAAGCCUCAAGGCAUUCUCCAAUGCUAAUGCUGUCUUUGGUGUGAAAGGAGGACGUGGAGGUCGUGUGACAGCCAUGGCCAGCUACAAGGUGAAGCUUGUGACCCCAAGUGGAGAGCAAGAGUUCAGUUGCCCAGAUGAUGCAUACAUUCUUGAUGCUGCAGAGGAAGAAGGCAUUGACCUUCCUUACUCAUGCAGGGCUGGUUCUUGCUCUUCAUGUGCUGGCAAAGUUGUGGGUGGCCAAGUGGACCAGUCUGAUGGUAACUUCCUUGAUGACGACCAAAUUGAACAAGGCUUUGUUCUCACCUGUGUUGCUUAUCCCACUUCUGAUGUUGUUAUUGUCACCCACAAGGAGGAGGAGCUCGUUGCUUAAAUCUUAUCAUCACUUUUGUUAUUAACAUUCUAUUCUUCUGGUUUUUCUUUGACGAGUGUAAGAAAUUUAUACGUUUGUGUUAGCUGUAUAUGUGGUUCUGUUGGAUUCCUCGUAUAUGUUUUUUAUGUUUUUUGGACUUAUAGUUUCUCUUACUUUGCGUAAGAGAUUAUGAGUCUUGUUAGGAUUGGAAAGUGCAACAAUUGAAGUUUGUUUUUAUAUCUUAGUGCCAUUUUUCAGGAUAUAAACGUGUGUUGUGCUUGUUCAUGAACAACUUAUUCUGCAUUAACUCGUUAAUUACUUCACCUCUCUGGUGAUAUGUAUCAAAUAUUUAUAAAAAUACACUGGUUUUUGUCAUGCACAUUAGUGAAUUAUACUAAUAUUUCGAGCAGUUAGAGUUCCGAUAUGCUAAAAUUUGUUAACCUUCAUAUAUAUUAAAAAGAUAGAUGAUAUAUCUAAUAUUGUAUCUGAAUGAUUUAAAUGUCUAUGCUCAUUUAAGAAUGAUUUGUACAUCUAUGCUCUAUGAAGUUCCAACUAGUUCUGAAGUAAAAUAAAACACUAAUGAAUCAUGUUUUCUGAAACAAAUCAAGAAGAGUGAUAGCUUUUGCUUUGAUCUUCAACGUUGUGGGGAAUUAGUAUAUACAGAUUCAGACAAAUAUUCAGCUACCUUGAAUGUUUUGCCUUGUUGGGGGUCUCCAACUUCAGCUGUUCUACUGAACUCACUGUUAUCUGAUUCAAAGACCCUAAAGAAGAGGAUCGAGUUAGAGUCCCAGAUGCUACUGUCAUUUCGUCCCUCUCAUCAAUUGUUGAUUCCAGGGAGCAUACUGAUCUUGCAGUGUGUGAAUGCAACGAAUCAUGCUUAGACUUGUGUUUCACUCUUUUACACCAACUAUGCAGAGACUCUCUAACACUCUCUGUCACCAAGGCCUUCUUGCAUUUCGAUCCCAUCUGAGGCCAAUCAUCAAAUAAAUUUACUUUCAUCACGUUUUCGUUAGAACACUUUGUUAAGAACUUAACAAUGAGCAUUAAGCCAACCUGAGAAACUAUUAUGCUCAGGGGCACUGUCAUGUAGCUACACCAGAACUGAACAAUAGCACUGCAAGUUUCAAAAUAACGAAAUGUGAGUCUUCCUGGUGGAAAAAUCGAACUAAUUCUCUCUCAGGUGUAGAUACAAAAUUGACUCUUGCGAAAGCAAUAAGCAAAUAAAAGAAAAAUAGAAAAAUAGAAAUGAGAGAAUAGAUAUCGAAAUCCUAGUCAGAUGUUAGAGAGAAAUUAGAUGAGAUUGAAUGUUAUCCUCACUGAGAAAAAUAAAUAUUGUAAUUCUAGUUUUAUAGUGAAAAUAUUUUCUAGAUUAGAUAUAGUAGAUUUUACUUCUUAAGUGGAGGAAGUUUUCUUAAGUUAAAAGAUUGGAGUAGUGUAAAAUCCAGAAAGUUGGUAAAGAAAGUAGAACAAAAAAAUCUUGAAAGAGAGACGACACCAACCCAGAUGCCAACCGAAUGAUGAUCAUGUAAUGAUUUCUCAUGAAGCACGAUUGUUCUUGGAAUCCCCACUACAAAAACAGAAAUUGAAGAUAAUUCAUUGAACAAAAGCAAGUCAUAAGUCACGUAUACAAUCUUGAAAAACUGAAGUCUUACCAAUGUCCAAAUAAACGUUGCCAUUUCAAAUGCAUUCUGCAUGAACAGUGGAGAAAAUAAGAACAGAAAACACAACCAUGCAGCAUGACCUACUUACAAAUAAAGUGUUAUCGAUUCUUACCUGAAAUAUGACAAACUGUAUCAGCCAUAACAGUAUAUCUGGUUUUUUAAACCAGAAUAGAUCAUCGCGUGGCUUUACUUGUGUCCUAGGAAACGGACCUGUCUGCUCCAUAAUUUCAAGUGCUAAGGUGGAUACAACAUGUUGAAGCUUUGCCCCUAUCAACAUCACAAGCUUUUACGUGUAGAGAAAUCAGACCUUGAUGGAAAUAACUUUCAAUGGACUUUUUCAUUUUGAUUUGUUAAAACAACAAAUUAGAAUAUACAUACAAUUGCAGGGAUAAAUGAUAGCCAGAAGUAUAUAUUCAGACCUGCAAAUUUAGAAACUUAAAUAUCUGAAGAAAUUAAUUUUAAAGACACUAACAAUAUACUAUGAUUCUGAAGAGAAGCUACCGUGGAUGUUCACGAAGAUGCACACUAUGGCAUAAAUCCAAAGCAGCCAGCUGCAAAAUUGAAAAAAAAGGGUUAUUCAGCUGUUAGUUUUCUCAUUGUUUUUCUUAGUAGAAGUCUAAUGUUGAUUAGAAAAAACAUUUGUAUUGGAAACUUCAUUUCCCAUCACUCAAUUCCCUAUGCUAAUCAUGAUUCACGAGCAUGCUAUGUUAGUUAAUUAAGCAACUUACAGUUAAUAACUUGCAUCGGUUUUCAGAAACACCAGUUAAAAGAAGAAAUCCAUUUCAAAAUGGUUCUUACCUUAUUCCUAGAAUGCCAUGAAAUUCAUCUUCCAUGCUUCGAACCAUAUAUUGAUGGAAAUUAUAAGAUAACGGCAAAUUGUGUUCCUGUAAAUUUGUGAAUACGAAAAUUACUUCGAUUUAGAAGAAUCAAAUAAAAGAUUAGGCAAUCAGGGAACAAUAGUGGACCAACAAGUCUCCAGCAUGCAUUAUUUUAUCCAACAUCCUUCAACAGAUAAGAAACUUACAGUGAUGAAACCUAAACGUAGUGCAAGGUAAUCUGAUUUUCGUAUAGAGCUCCUAAACUGACGUAGGAAACAGAGCUGCAAGAUCAGAUCACAAACAUUAAUCCAUUAUAUUCAAACUGUGCACAAGGAUGACACCAAAAACAUUUAGAAACUAGGAGUUGCUAGAAAGAUGUUUAGAUGGGUGAGUUGCUAGAGAAAUUAUGCAUCAAAAGGCCAUCCCAGUAAAAGCAGCACACAAAUAAUUAAGGAUGUGCCAUUUAUGUUGAAAUGUUACCAUCCAGUUUAGGAUUGGACUCCUGCUCCAUGGAUGAGAAGUGCGAUGGAAAAUAAAUGUUGUCUGUCGCUUCAUCAACUUGAUUUUCUUUGCUGUUUAACAAAAAUUAAUAAAAAGUUUAGGACAUAGAUUAAUCUGUUCUAUUCAAUGCAGAAGUGUUUGUCAGAUUUCAUUCAUGAUAUGAUGUCACAUUUUAAGACCAAUCGUUAUGAAGUAACCAUUCUAUGCCAUUUACCUUGCUGGUUUCCAUCACUUGGCAUCCUAGCCUGAUUUUCCCAUCUGCGCCAACUAUAGAUCUACAAACACUUGCAACAAAGAUAAAAUAAAUGAUAUGAACCAGACUACCAAACAUAGAAAACAACAGCAAUGAAGACAACUCCAAGUGAUCGAUUGGAACAAGGAUCCCUUAAACAAAGACACUAAUUUAACCAUUGGCAUUACUGGUUAGAAGAGCAUGAUGUUGCUAAAACACCUCUGGGGUUGAUGUUGUACAUGUAGUAAACUGAAAAUUAUGAUGACUUACCUUACUCAUUGCCAAACCAACUGCCAGACAACUAUACAAAACAUGAGUGAUUCCGAGAACAAAUAAGAACCGGUGCAGCUGCUCAAGACCUUCAUAUGAAACAAAAGGUUCAUGACCCUGCAUUCAUGUAUUAGUAUUUUUGGAAGGGCUAUGCAGUAUUGCAAAGAAACAAAGAUUUAAUAUUAAGUAUGACAUUGACACUAUAUGCAAGAUAUUUAGUGGCUAACAUUAUACUCACUGCAGUGAAGAAAGCAAAGCUUAAAUGUAGUUGUAAUUAGUGUAUGUUACCUCUCCACAUUGGUUGAAUGCUCCAGUAAUACUAGUUUCAUCAGGGAUAGAUGAUGAUGAGCUUUCCAGCAUGAUAUUCUCAUUUAUGUCCACGUCUUGCUCAGAACAAAUAUAAAAUCGACUGCUAAAAAGUGACGAAGUCACACAAAUUUCAGAGAUCCAUCUUGCACUUUGUGCCAACAGCAAAGAGAUAAGUCCAAGCAACAUCAGCUCUAUCACAAAAGAAAAAACAGAUACUAAUCUUUAAGUCUAAGUCAAUCUCGUAAAACUGGUUUAUAAGAUAGGUUUACACCCAAAUAUAUAAUAUAAAAUAUUCUAAUCUCCGGUUAAUAUGACAUUUACAACAGUAACUCAAGAACAUAAGGCAUAAUGGAAAUGUGAAAUAAUACUCAGUGUCACUACCUUCCUUGAGUUUCUCCAGUGAAGCAAAAAGUGCCUUCCUUCUUGUUUUCUUCAACCACUGCACAACAAGAAAAAAAAGUUUCAUUUCUACUUAUCAUGGGAAGUAGCAACCCAGAAAGUAACCAGUGAAAAGGGUGAUUUGUUCACUCUACAGUGUACUACUACACAUAAAUUUGCAGUGUUUACCUCUCCAAAGCGGUAGAUUGAACGUUCAACCAAUAAGCAGACAAAGACCAUGACAGCAACAACAGAGGCAACUGAAUAUGUUGGUGUCUCAGCCAGAGAGCGACCUCGCUGCAGCACCUCUGCCAUUGUUCACUUCAAAGCAACAAGUUGAAGUCUUUUUCAUGGGAAAAACAUAGUUCCUUGAUUCCACAUAAAUGGAGCCAGAUGGGAUCCAGGGAAUGGGGAAGUGCAGUGCAAAACGGAAGUGUAUCUUAGUUUAAUAAUUAUUUGGUGAAGAAGGUGCAUGUGCACAUUGGAAACUUCACUCACCUUACACAAAAAACUUCAUUAUUUAUUUAAUCUUUAGUUGUUGGUUUAUAUAUAUGUUUUAUGUUAUUUUGGAUUUUGAUAUGUUACUAUACUUUAACCAAAAUAUUCAUAUUUGUUUAUUCUUUUUUGGUGAUAAAAAAAGUUAAUUAUUAUUUUCUGAGGCCACACAACCUUGUUCACUUUCCAGUGUCGUGCUUUUUCCUCUCUCCAAAUCGAAAAGCAUGCACAUGGAGGGUUUCCCAGUCUCCCAGGUAAGUUGCUAAUAAUUUGUAAGUUGGAAGGGUCCCAAUAGAAACCUGGUAUAUUCUAUGCAUGUGGAUGCUGAUACGAUCAAUAUCAAUUCCCAACAAAUCAAACUACAAAAGGAAACAGAAAAUACUAACAGAAAAUAAUAAAAGAACUUUGAUAUAUAAUAUGAUGAGAUAAAGAGGAAUAAGAUACAUUAAUUUGGUAUUUAUAUCAUCAGUUAAAUAUAAGUUAAAUAUAUUUUUCGUUUUUUCUUUUAACAUGAAAUUGGUUUUAAUUCUUGUUCUAAACUUUAGAUUAUCCAGUUAUUUAUAAUAUAGAAAUUAUAGAAAUGAGUUAUUGUAUACGUGAAAUAAUUACAAGUUUUUUCAAGAUUUGUUGAUGUUUUGAUUGUAAAUACUUACUAAAAUUGUUUUUAAUGGUUGAUGAAUUUCAAAUUGAAACAAUUGUAUAUAUUAAAUGAUCUAUUUCAAUCAUUUUUAUACUACAAACAACUGGAUGAUAUAAAAUUUGAACCAGGAACGAAAAUCAGUUGAAGAGACCAAAACCAAUUUCGUGUCUUAGAAUUUAAGGUUUAGUACAUGGACGUUAAAAUCUUCAAGAUUUUGUUUUUAGAGUGGUGUUUAAUUUUUUAAAUAAACUCUUAUUAAGGUUUGAUUCUCAAAAUGAUAGAAAAAAACUCAUCAGAACAAAUAAUCACUAUUAAGCAUGAUUUUCAAAUGAGUAUUAUUCGUUGAAAAAAUGCAUAUAUACUUCACACUUUAUUGAGUUAUUCAUUUAUUUUAAGAUAAUUUUAUGUUUGAAAACAAAUGAUAAUCUAUCAUGAAUAUUAGUUUCUUAUGUUUUUUAUAUAUUUUAAAACAAAUAUAGGAUAUUAAUUUUUUUGAGUCAUAUUUUAAAUAUUUUAAAAAUAAAUUAUUAACAAUUAAAAGUUACUUUUGAUCACAAUAUAACUAUUUACUAUACAGAUAAAAUAUAAUUUGAAUCUAACUUUCUUGAAUUGAAAAGUUCAAAUAAUGUAAAAGACUAUAAUGUCUUAAUCAUCUUGUCUUAUUGAAUAUAAAUAUAUCAAGUGUUGAAAAAUAAAUGAGGCGUGGAUCUAAUUUUUAUAAACUUAAAGAAAAGUUGUAAUGGUGUAAAAAUACUACAAUAGAUUUAUUUUCUUAUUUUAUAUAUCUAUAAAAUAUAAAAAAAUAAUAAUCUUUAUGGACAAAAGUUGUGAGAUUAUCUUACUUUUAAGCUAAAUGCUUAGAUAAUAAUUUUAUUUAAUAAAUACUUUCAUUUUAAUUAUACAAGUUUAUAAAUUGUAUAAAUACAAUUAUUAAUAGUUUAGUGAUUUGAUGAUAAAAUACUUAAACCUUUGUAAAUAGGAUUUAAAAAUUUGAAUUUAAUCUUUUGGUGAUAUUAGUAAUCCAUUGUGAUGUUAGUAUCAAAUAGUGACACAUGUUAGAAUAAACUAUCCACAGUGUACACAUGUCCUAUUAGGUUAACACAAUCUUUUUUUUAAGUGUAAUUUAAUUGAACUAUUUAUUUUAUUUAGACUUACUUAUUAAAAUUGUUUUAAAGAGAUUAAUUUUAAUUCGUGUUAUGGUUUGAGUAUUAUUUAAAAAAAAAAAAUUGUGCUUUAAGUACUCUUAGUGUAAUUUAUUUGAGUUAUAUUUUUAAAGUGAUUUUUGGAUAAUUCAAUUUAAAAAUACACAAAUAUUUAUUUUAAAAUAUAUCUAUAAAUAUUCAUAAAUACCCGCGAUUAUUUUUCUCUCAUAACCUAUGUAGCCUAGACACUAACACACAGACAUUGAUUCGACAUGUACACGAAUAUAUGUAUAAUAUUUAAAAUGUAGGACACAAAUUUAUAUAUUAUAUAAUUAUAAAUUAUAUAAAUUGAUAAUAAAGAUUUAUGUUUAUGUGCACAAGUAUGUUUUAAUUUUUUUAGAAAAAAUAUGUUUUUUUUAUGUCUAGUUAAAAAAAUUGUUUUUUUAUUUUUAUAAUCAUAAUAAAAAUUUAUAUAAUAAGUUUGAAUUUUUAAAAAAUUAAUAUUUUUUUAAAAAAAUUGCGUUAGAGUCGUGCUAUAAUUGUCAGAAAUGCAAUAAAUAUUUUUUUAAGUAGACACUUCACUCAUACAUAUCUUACGAGAUGUCCAAUAUAUAUAUUCGACACGAAAAUAUUAUUUAAGAGUGAUUUCCAAACCUUAGGUCAAAACUCAACAAAUGGAUAAUAUAUUUUUUAUUUUUUAUUUUUCUUACAAUUGUUUUUUUUUUUAGUAUUUGUUGUUCUAUCAAUACACAUAUUACUAAUUUUUGUAUAGUUAAAUAUGGGAUUUUUAAGGACAACCUUGUUAUAUUUAUUCAGGGAAAGUCACAUAUAAUAUAAUACUUUAUCUAAAUUUCCUUACUACACUUAUUUCUUUGUUAUAUUAUUGCUUCAAAUUUUAAAUAUCAAUAAGAGAAAAUAUUAUUAUUUUAUUAAUUAUAAAAGAAUACUUUAUAUAUUACAUGUAAGAAAAAAAUUGAAAGAAAAGGGGGUUGCAUAACCAUUCAUACCAUUUAUUCCGUUCCUUAAACCAUUGAAAUUGAGCCUCAAAUAUUAGAAGAAAGAGAUUCCUAAAACCCUAAUCUUCCAAAACCCUACACUCUCUCAUGGCGUCGUCGUUAAUUCGCCUCCGCCGAACCCUCAGAGCACUCUCCGGCGUCACCCACUCCAUCUCCGCCGCGCAUGCGUCGUCCAUUUCGGCCCCUAUCAGGUGCGCCGUUCCAUGGAGUUCCCACUCUCCGAAGGGUGUGGUUCAGUCCCGUUCUUUCAGGUCAUCAUCAGCUUCUUUUCUCUCUGUUAGAUCCUCGCAGAGCAACAUCCCCGACGAGAUUGGUCCCGAUACCAUUCUCUUCGAGGGCUGCGACUACAACCACUGGCUCUUCGUCAUGGACUUCCCCCGAGACAACAAACCCUCUCCCGAAGACAUGGUUCGCGCUUAUGAGGAAACUUGUGCCAAAGGCCUCAACAUCAGGUUCCUCACUUCAUCUCUCGUACAACUCUUCCUAUCACAAUGUUUUGAUUAUAACUCGUUCGCAUACACCAAAAAUAAGUUAGAUUAUGAAAAAAAUAUCGAUGAGUGCGAGCAACACACUCUAUUAUCGAUAACUGCAAAAUCAUGUGUGGAGGUCGUUGAUUAAAAUUAGAAACAGUGAAAUUUUGUGAUUUUCAGCCAAUUUUAGUUGAGAGCGUGUUGAUGUGUUGGUACUGGUGGUCUUUACUUGAAUAUUUGGGUUUUUUUUCAGUGUGGAAGAGGCGAAGAAGAAGAUAUAUGCGUGCAGUACAACAACUUACACAGGCUUUCAGGCAGUCAUGACCGAAGAAGAGUCUAAAAAAUUUGAAGGUAUUUGUUCCUGCUUCUCACUCUCGAAUUCCAUGAUCAUGUCGAGAAAAUAUAAUUUGGUGUUUGAUUUGUUGCAUCUUAACAGGUCUUCCUGGAGUCAUCUUUGUGCUACCAGAUUCCUAUAUUGAUCCAGUGAACAAGCAGUACGGGGGUAUGGUUAUUUUUUUCUUUUCAGAAGUUUGAUUGGAUUUAUUCAUUACUUGUUCAAAUUUCAGUAUUUGCUAUAUCAUGUGCACUUCAACAGUUUGCUACCCUUUUGAUUACAAGAAUGUUUCUGAAAUAAAGUUUUCGUGGUUGAUAAAUAGGAGAUCAGUACAUUGAUGGAACUAUUAUCCCUCGACCUCCACCAGUACAGUAUGGGAGAAAUCAAGGAAGACGAGACCGGAAUAGGAGUCCUGGUCAGUACAACCGACAAGAGAAUCCCUCUUAUAAUAGUCAGGAGUCCAUGCAUGGGGAUGGAAGGAACUAUGGACCUUCACAAAAUUAUCCACCCUCACAGAACUAUGGUCAAGCAUCACAGAAUUAUCCACCUCAGCAGAACUAUGGUCAAUCAUCACAGAAUUAUCCGCCUCAGCAGAACUAUGGCCAAGCAUCUCAGAAUUAUCCACCCCAACAGAAAUAUGGCCAGACCUCACAGAACAAUCCUUCCCAACAAAGUUAUGGCCAGACAUCACAGAACAAUCCUUCCCAACCAAAUUAUGGCCAGACAUCACAGAACAAUCCUCCCCAACAAAAUUAUGGCCAGACAUCACAGAACAAUCCUCCCCAGCCAAAUUAUGGUCAAUCAUCUCAGAAUUAUCCACCACAACAGAGAUAUGGCCAGACAUCACAGAACUAUUCUCCCCAACAAAAUUAUGGCCAAGCAUCACACAAUUAUCCACCCCAACAGAAUUAUGGUCAGGCAUCACGCAAUUUUCCACCCCAACAAAAUUACGGUCAGACACCACAAAAUUAUCCACCCCAGGAGAACUUUAAUCAAGCAUCGCAGAAUUAUCCACCUCAUGCUCAGCAGCAGGGCUUUGGACCUCCAGGACAAGGGGAAAGGAGUUAUAUGCCACAGCAGAACUUUGGACGACCGGGACAAGGGGAAAGAAGAGAUACUGUGCCUAGGCAUGGUGCUUCAGAUGUGAGGGAUGAUACUUUUAUACCGUCAUACAUGAAGGAAUUUGAACAGGCUGAGCAGCAGGGGAAUCAACCUUCUGGCCGAGGCAAUUUUACUGGAGAGGUAUUGUAGAGAACCAAAAUUGAGUACAUUCAAGUUUCUGAGUCAAAUUAGUCAGAAUAGAGAUUAAAACUGAUGUUAAUAUUUAGUUCAAUAUAUUUUAUUGCGGGUCUGUAUUCGUUGAGGCUAGAUCUUUGCUAUUGGAAAAAAUUUCAACUUUGUCUCUAUCAAUACAAAAGAUAACUUGCUUUUGUUAUUUUUUGCAGGGAAGAUAUUGAGAGUAGUCGGAGACAUGUGGGCGGCUUGUAUUAAAGUACUAAUCACAUUCUAAGCUGAUUUGCAUGUCCUUUCCAUUUGGUGGAAUAUUGAUUUAUUGAGCUGUCGGUGUGUAUCGAUUAACUUUUAGUUCAUGCACUGCUGUGACAAAGUUGGAUGUGGUAUGUAAUUUAGUACUGGCUGCUACCUUGUUUUUUGAACAUGGUUGAACUCUGAAUUUCACGUGGUACUUUGCUCUCUUACUCCUCUUUCUCGUUCUCAUUGUGACGAACGAAACAGUUAAUAAUUGUGAAUUUGCUCUGUAUCAUGUGGCAAAUUGGUCAGUUUCCAUAGGCAGCCUAGUGCCAUAGCCCACACCCAACGUCCAUGUCUUACUCUUUUGUUUGAUAUCUUAAUUUGGCAUAUAUUUCAAGUUUUGGAAGAUCUAAUUCUUCUGAUGAUAAAAGUUGUUAGUGAGAAGUGCGGUUGAAGCAAAGAAGAAAAGGAUUAUUGUGCUAAUGACUGAGAAUAGUGGGCAUUAAAACAUAUUCAAAGAAUGUUCUUGGUCUGGCUUCAAUGUGUCUGAGGCUCCCAAGGAAAAUCAGACUUCUAUUAUCAGUGGCAGUUUUGAGGCUUAAGCUGAAAUGACAUGGAUAUAUGAACUCCUUCCACGUAUAAUCACUGAAUUCUAAUGCUUCUUUACACGAACAACAAUAAAUAUUAUUCUUAACAUCAAUUUUAGUAAAACAAUAUCACUCUUUCAAUAAAUGUAUUGGCAAAAUAAUGCUUUGUUGAAGAGUAAGGAAAUAGAUUAAUUGACAAACAAAACUAUUAAGACUGUUGGCAACACACUCGAAAAGGAUCUACUGAAAACAAAAGAUUUGCCUGAUUGAAAAAAAAAACAUCAAGAAAAGGAAGGGAUAAUAACUUUUUUUUUGCAAAUAAAUUUUAUUUACAAGUUGAAGUUGUACCACACCAAAUAUAAAGUAGUCAUAUAAGAAAAUACUAAAGAUAAUCACAUUAAAUUGCAUUAUUACCCAUAUGCUCAAUAACAAAAUUCUUUCUCCAAUAAAUUCCAAAUACAAGAUAAUCCUUCUAAAGGCUACUAACAUUGCUAUAGUAAAGGUCUCGAUUAAAGGGCAUUACUGAACCCUAAAACAGGAACUAAAUUUCUUCUUUUCAAAAGAAAAUAAAAAAGAACAUUAACAAUUGAUUACAACAAAAAAUUACAGACAGACGAAUAAGAAAACUAGAAAUUGAAAUUUAAUUGAAUAUUCUAACAACAACGCCAAAUUUAAUCAAUGUCAUACUCAACCAAAUUAAAAAAUUAAAAUAUAAAUAGCCGACUUCACAAAAACGACAAUAAAAUUCAAUUAUAAUAGUUGAUAUGUUUUUUUUACCUAUUAAAUUAAGCAAAUAAUUGUAUGGAAUUAAGUAAAUUAAACAUAAAUUAUAAUUAACGAACAAAAUCAAGUUAUCGCGUUAAAAAACAAUUCCAAAAUCAAGGAUCAGAAGUAAAAAAAAAAAACAUAUUAUCUAGUGCAAUCUAACACAGAAAUUGAUGAACAGAAAUCACACGAGAAAACAUAAUAUGUUACAUAUGCCAAUUAGGUUAGUGCACUUAAGAAUAUAAAUUCAACCAAUAAUUACAGUUAAAGUCCAAUUAAAUUACAUUAUAUGAAUUCUAAUUGAAACUAAGUGAAAUGUAUUUAUCCUUAAAUUCAUCUUGAAUUAAUAUAAUUUCAAUCAAAAGAUUAAAAAAAAAAACUAUUAAAAAUUUAGAACAAUCGACCACAGUGGGAGUCGAACCCACGACCUUCUGAUCCGAAGUCAGACGCGCUAAUCCACUGCGCUAUGCGGUCUUUGUUGACUAUUCUACAUUCAAAUAUUUUAAAUAUGUUAUUAUUAGAUCCUUUUGGUUACAACUGAACCAUUGCUAUAACGUAUUUUUGUCAAUACAAGUAUGUGGGUAGUUAUUUUAUGCAUGAACUCACUGGAAGCGACGUCGUUUCAGAUAAAGUGAAAAAUUAGAAUAAAGCGGGAGUUAGGGUUCGAGCACAACCUUGUUCGUGUGCGAGGGUUGCAGAGAGAAGCGAAUCGAAUCGGAAUGAGCGGUUGGGUGAAGCGACGCGGCGACGGUGUCGUCGGGAGCAGCAGAGAGGAAGAUCAGCUCAUAGUCACUCCAUUAGGCGCCGGAAAUGAGGUUGGCCGUUCCUGCGUCUACAUGUCCUACAAAGGCAAAAUCGUCUUGUUCGAUUGCGGCAUUCACCCUGCUUACUCCGGCAUGGCCGCUCUCCCCUAUUUCGACGAGAUUGACCCUUCCACCGUCGACGUCCUCCUCAUCACUCACUUCCACUUGGACCACGCCGCCUCCUUGCCCUACUUUCUCGAGAAAACCACCUUCCGUGGCCGCGUUUUCAUGACCUACGCCACCAAGGCCAUUUACAAGCUCCUCUUGUCCGAUUUUGUCAAAGUCAGUAAAGUCUCCGUCGAAGACAUGCUCUAUGACGAACAGGACAUCAACCGCUCCAUGGAUAAAAUCGAGGUUCUCUUCUCAUUUUCGCCUUUUCUGCUUCUCGCUACUUAAAUUUACUUCUCCGUCACUACUCGUAGAAGGAAAAUUAACAAGGUGUGGUGAAUUCAGUUUUUCGUAUAAGCUAAGCAAAAUCAACUUCCAAUUUAUUUAUCUAGGGUUGUAGUUUAGUUUAUCUCUUUAAUGUUUGCUUACAGAAAUUUGUGACUGCAGGUGAUAGAUUUCCAUCAAACAUUGGAAGUGAACGGUAUUCGAUUCUGGUGUUAUACUGCAGGACAUGUGCUUGGUGCUGCUAUGUUCAUGGUUGACAUCGCUGGUGUCCGAGUUCUUUAUACUGGAGAUUAUUCGCGCGAGGAAGAUCGGCAUCUCCGAGCUGCUGAGACCCCACAGUUUUCCCCCGAUGUUUGUAUUAUAGAGUCCACCUAUGGUAUACAGCACCAUCAGCCUCGGCACACUCGGGAAAAACGCUUCACUGAUGUUAUUCACUCCACCAUUUCUCAGGGGGGUCGUGUGUUGAUUCCAGUAUUUGCCCUUGGUCGUGCACAGGAGCUCCUCCUGAUCCUUGAUGAGUAUUGGGAAAAUCAUCCAGAGCUUCAGAAUAUACCCAUCUAUUAUGCUUCUCCUCUUGCAAAAAAAUGUUUGACCGUGUAUGAAACAUAUACCCUUUCCAUGAAUGACAGGAUCAAGAAUGCUAAGUCGAAUCCCUUUUCCUUCAAGCACGUGUCAGCUUUGAGUAGCAUUGAUGUUUUCAAAGAUGUGGGACCGUCUGUUGUGAUGGCAAGUCCUGGUGGGCUUCAGAGUGGUUUGUCACGACAACUAUUUGAAAUGUGGUGCUCUGAUAAGAAAAAUGCUUGUGUUUUACCAGGGUAUGUUGUUGAAGGGACAUUGGCAAAAACCAUCAUCAAUGAACCCAAGGAGGUUACUCUCAUGAAUGGACUCACUGCACCGCUUAACAUGCAGGUGCACUACAUUUCCUUUUCUGCUCACGCUGACUCUGCUCAAACAAGUGCUUUCUUAGAAGAGCUCAAUCCCCCUAAUAUAAUUCUUGUUCAUGGGGAAGCUAAUGAGAUGGGCAGGCUCAAACAGAAGCUUAUGAGUCAAUUUGCUGAUCGCAACACCAAAAUUCUUACUCCGAAAAACUGUCAAUCUGUUGAAAUGUAUUUCAAUUCCCAGAAAAUGGCAAAAACCAUAGGGAAGCUGGCUGAGAAAACACCGGAAGUUGGCGAAACUGUCAGUGGUUUACUGGUAAAAAAAGGCUUCACAUACCAGAUAAUGGCACCUGAUGAUCUCCAUGUCUUUUCACAACUAUCAACAGCAAGCAUCACUCAGAGAAUUACCAUUCCUUAUUCUUGUGCCUUUAAUGUCAUUCGGCAUAGACUAAAACAGAUAUAUGAGAGUGUUGAGCAGUCAGUGGAUGAGGAAUCUGGAGUUCCUACAUUGCAAGUCCAUGACUGCGUUACUGUGAAGCAAGAAUCUGAAAAGCAUAUCUCCUUGCAUUGGGCAGCUGACCCCAUUGGGGACAUGGUAUCAGAUUCAAUUGUUGCUCUGAUUUUAAAUAUCAGCCGUGAUGUCCCAAAAAUAAUGGAUGAAGCUGAUGCCGUUAAAAUUGAGGAAGAGAGUGAGAAGAAGGCAGAGAAGGUUAUGCAUGCCCUCCUCGUUUCACUCUUUGGAGAUGUGAAGAAAAGUGAAAAUGGUAAAUUGAUAAUCAGCAUUGAUGGGAAUGUAGCAGAGCUCAACAAAGAAAGUGGGGAAGUUGAGAGUGAAAAUGAAGGUCUCAAGGAAAGAGUAAAGACAGCAUUCCGCCGUAUUCAGAGUUCUGUGAAGCCAAUUCCUCUUCCUGCACCAUAGUCUAUUCCUUUUCUUGCAUUGUCUUGGGAAGGUUCAAUGCCACCAAACACUUGCUCACAUGAGACAGUUAUCAUAACAUGUAGUUACUGUAUCUUUAGAAUGACGAGCUUGGACACAACAUUCUCUGCCCCAUUUUUGUUAUUCAUCGAACAUUUAAUCAUUUAGUCUUCAAAUGUUUUAUUAAUGUGUCUUUAAUUUUUCUGUCUGUCAUUUUCUAGCUGAUAGCGAUGGUGCGCAUGAUUGAAUACUGAUCUCCUUGUUUCUAAAGCAUACUGAUUUUCUUUUAAUUCAUGAAUGAUUGAAUUUUGCUUACCAUGGAUCUUGUGCUGGGAAAUACAGUGUUGGACUGUUAGGUUUGAUGUUCUAUUUACCUAAAAACUAGUAGUGUGUCUCAGAUGAUUAAGGGUUCAUGAUUAUCACCAAAUAACUUUCGAUGUUCGGAAUCUUAAUAAAUUAAAAGAAUGUAAAUGAUUUAGUAUGCCUAUUUCAGGAAUGCUCUUUUAAUUUUUUAACAGAAGAAUCUUUGAAGUAUUAUUUUAUUUUAAUCUAAUAAUGUUGGUGCUAAGUGUAUCUGGGAUCAAAGUACGUGCAAUUUGAAUUUAUCACGAUUUGUUUCCCCAUGAGAUACCGACAUAAAAAUGGAGAUUAACCAAUCUGUUUUCCCCUCGCGAAAUGAUGAUGUUAAAGAGAAUAUUAAAAGUUAAAACACUUUAAAUUUAUAAGAAAUCUUUUAUUGAAAAAUAUAAUAUUUAAAUCUAAUGAUUUUGAAUAAAAAAUAUUAUUUACCAGUUUCUUAAUUGAUAUCUAAAGAUACUCAUUGGUAGGAUUCUUUAGAAUGGCAGUAUAAAUAUCAUCUUAGACACUUCAUCUUUUUCGCAAAAUAAUUUUACAUUUUGUUUAAAUCUUAAAAAAAAUGAAGCUUUUUUUGUCUAUAAUUUAGUAAUAAAAUUGUAAUAGUGACAAAUUAAUGUUAAAAAAGGAAUUUAAAUAGUUAUAAUUGACAGCUAACCAUAAAAAUAAAAUAAAAAAUACUAGUUUUCUCUUAAAUUUAUUAAAUAAUCUGAAUUAUAUUAAAAAACACGUCCUCUUUUGAUCAGAAUGCAUAAAAUAUUGUCAUUCUAUUGAUUUCCUCAUUAAUAUUAAACAAAAGUUAAAGAUGCUAAUUUUCUUGAAACAAAUGAAAGACAAAAAAACACUUAAUAAAAUAGCAUAUUUCCAUUUUAUAGUUUAUUUAAAUAAUUACUUGAAAUAUUUGUUAAUUUUCAAUUGCAACAGCUAAUAACAAGAUGGAGAGAGCAGUAAUAGAAUAUUGGAUUUUAAAGGUUAUAGCAGUAAUGGAGUAUUAAGUUUGAUGAAUAACAAGUAAAUGUAUUAAUUCCCAAGUUCAAAAGUAUCAAAAGCGAUGAGAUGAAUAAUAAGAUAAGAAAACAUAAAAUAUGGGGCUCAUAAACUAGUAUAUGGAUAUUUAAAGGAAUUUGAAACUAGCCUAUACUCUUGAAAAAAAUUUAGCAGUAACAUCUAAGAUGUCACAUGACAUUAGACUGCAGUUUUCUUGUUCCUGAAAUUCUCCUUCAUCAUUGCAAAUUUUUUCUUACACUGAUUCACAGUCUUCCCAGGUACAGCUGCUGCAACUCUCUCCCACCUCUGGCUUGUUUCCUUUGGAAAGGCUUUUAGAGCUUGAACCAGUGCUCGUUCAUGCACUGCAGACCACACAUCCUGUUCUGAACUGGAAGAAACUCCAUUAGCAGAUGCAGAGUUCUGAUUAUCUGUAUUCUUGCUGUGAGAAUCUUCUGUGUUAUUGGUUGAGGCAGGAGUUGGAGUUGGAGUUGAUACCCCUUCUAAUUCUUCUCUGGUUGUCAGUGGAGACUCAAUUGAUUGUGCACCAGGUUUCCUUUUCUCAAGAAAAGUGUCAAAAGCUUUUGAUGAAUCAGGUUUCUGGAGGAGUACAGUUUUAGUUGCCUUCAUUAUUUCUUCAACAGAUCUUCCAGUACCAAUGUAUUCUGAAAUAACCUCCCAUCUCCUUGAAGUUCCUUUGGGGUAUUUCUGCAUUCCUUUCCUCAGUAGAUCAAUCUCUUCUUUACUCCAAGGUUUCUCCUCCUUCUUCUCAACAUUGCUUCUCGAAGCACUGCCAUUAGCCUUGAUGGAACCAUUGGAAUUUUGUUGAUUGGUUUUCUCAUCAGCCUUGAUGGUUUUCUCAUCUUUCUUAGAGCUCAGAGCGUCUCUCAAAACACUUGCUUGCUCUAAUAAAACCUGCCUGCCUUCCAUGUUCUCACAUAGACUCCUCAUCUGCUCAAUAUCAAGUGACAUGCAAAGCCUUUCUACAUCAUCAUCAGAAAUAUCAAGCAAACGUUGGGACAGAAUAGGUCCUGAAAGAGUCCGGAGGCGAGCUCGCUCCUUUCGCAACAGCUUUUUCUCUUUCUCUUUGACCUUCUUCUGUUGUAAGGCAGCUUCUGCAGCUUGUCUCUCUUCCUCCUCUUUUCUCUGCUUCUCCUCCUCUGCAAUUCUGGCUGCUUCUUCUUCCUGCAAUUUCUUUGCCAGGAACUUAGCCUCCUUUUUCCUUUGUUUCUGAGCUUUUUCUUCUUCCUUUCUUCUAGAUAUUCUGGGGUCCCUCUUGUAAGCAUUAUCAACAAGAGUACGAAUCCGUGCAUAGUCCUCCUUCCUAGCUUUUUCUGUCAAUUUUGCAUUCUGCCUUUCCAUCCACCUCUUGUGGUCUCGAGAUUCAGCUUGCUCGAGAUCAAACUCAUCAGCAUGUGGAAACUCCCUCCAACUUUUAAAGGAGUACCAAAAAUUGUAGAAAUUAUCAACUUCUUUUAAUGGAGUAUUAUCAUCACCUAGUGUAGGAAUUGGUUGAUUAACCGACCAUCGUCCGUUCCUCAUAAAAGCAGGACCAAACACCUUAAAGAAAUCUUGUGGAGCACAAUCAGUGGGAAUCUCGUCAUCAAACUCAUCAGUGGAAUCAUAAAUCCUUCUCUUCACAGAAUCAGUCAGCACUUCAUAUGCUUCCUGGAUUGCCUUGAAGUGACUUUCUAUUUCAUCCUUCUUUGCUUGUUUCGCAGCUUCAGUUUCCUCAGCCAAAAGAAGGGCAGCCUGCUUGUCAGGAUGAAACCUCAAGGCAGUUUCACGAUAGCUUUUACGGAUUUGAUCCUCAGUAGCCAGAUACCUUAGAUGACCCAGACCCAAUAAUGCAUAGUGAUCUUGUUGCUUGUCCCCAGUACCAGAUUUCUUUUUGCUUUUGCUGCUAUAAGAAUCAGAUGGAAGGUACGUUUGUUCCUUAUCAUCAACCACCUUUUUGUCAUCAGCCUCAUUCUUCUCUUCCUGAACACCACGAAGUUUAAGUGCAGCAGAAUGGAAAGAAUGACCUGCAGGUUCAUAUUUCAAAGCCUUCGUCGGAAGACAGUUUGAAGAGACAAAAAUAGGUUGUCCAUCUACAAUCUCUUGUGAGUAAGUAAUAAGACGGAAUUUUGUAUGUACAGCCAUAAUGGUGGCCUUUCAGAACAAAGAAAUAUGUCUCCCCUCAAAUUUAACACCGCAACCUGCAUUCAAAUAAAAACUCAGUUAGACAAUUCCCAGUCCCUUGACUUCAAUUAAACAAACAUCUAAAUCAUUAUUUUAAUAGAAUGAGAUAUUUUCUUUAAGAGAAAGUGGACUACAACUGCGAAGUGAAGGGAAAAAAAGGCCAAUAAUGCAACAAGGAUGCCCAAUCUCAAAGCAUAUUAGAUACAGCAACUCUCUUGAUGCAGCAAUGAACGGAUUAAUAGAACACCAAAGAUGAGCACUCUGUUAAAAACUUUUAGCUAAUACACCACAGAAUUUAAAACAAGCCAAAAACUGUUUCAGAGUAGACCUAAACAACUAUUGCUCCUCCAAGCAGCAUUAUCUAAGAAGUAAGGCCAAAAUUCAGCCAUAUAAACAUGUCAUUGCAGCCUAUGCAAUUUGGCAUCACCAGUUAACAACAUUGCCAACAGAAGGCAAUCGAAAUAUUUUAUAAUGGGAAAGUAGCCAUCUUACAGUGAAAAAAGAACAAAAACACAACACACUGAGCUUUGUUUUCAUGAAGGUGGUAGAAGUGAGACAUACAACACUGAACAGAAAAGAAGUAGCUUAUUGGCAAGUUUGCACUGUACAAAGAUGAAAAAGGCAACCACUGGCCUCUCAGAAAGAGGCAUAUUUUUUAAAAAUAAUGUUUUUCCAAACUAAGACGAGAAAGGGUUACAGAUACAUUAAAUAGGUAUUCAGUUACUGCACCUGGGCUUAAAAUACACGCAUUGAAAUACAAUUAACUAGAUAUCAAAGAACUAAAAACAUGGGUAAUUAGAGGGAAAGUACUGUGUAUGACCUCCGAAAGUAAAUAUCGAUUCAGCUUCACAUUAACUGCAAACAUACCAAAAUUCAUUAAACUCUCAAACCUAAGGCAAAAAACAGUUUAGACAAACAUAGUUCCGCCAAUUCUUCCCACUUCCCUCCCUAACUUCAUCAAACGAAUAAAAUAAAAUAAAAUCACCCCAUUCAAUGAAGACAAAAGGUAAAGGAAAUAACACAUCCAAAACAUCUUUAGUUAAGUAAAAAACAGCCUAAAGCUACCAUUAUGUUAACAUAAAAUUCAUAUUGUAACAGUGGUCCUGCAGAAGAGCCUUUUUCUCAAAGCAUGAGAACGAAAAUCCGAAAAACAUGAAAAAAUGAGGACAAGAAACAUUGAAAAGGCAUAAUAAUUUUUUUCUACUGAAGAUUGUAAUUAACUGAGUGCAUGUUGGGUUCCACAUCUGGGAUCGACAAUUAGGGUAAAAUCACGUCGAAGACAAUGCAAAAGCAACAUGCUCCCAGAUACACAGUAACAAGAUUUGUGGAUUUCCUUUAAGUAGUAUCCAACACCAAAACUAAAAAAACUUCAACAAAGAAACCGCAGAAGAUGAAAGAACAAUUAUAAACGAAUAAACGAAAAGUACACAAAUUCAAUCAACCAUGAAGAAAAGAAAAAAAAUAACCCAGUUAAACAAACCGAAAGGGCUGAAGCUAAACUGAAAAGGGUUUCAGAUAUAUGCAGAGAAAGGUUACAGCUGUACCCAGAAACCGAGAAAAGUGUAGGUGAUGCAGGAGGAGAAGUGGAAGGAAAACAGAUCGUGAUUGGCAUGUGGGGUGUGUGAUGCAGAAAGUGAUGAGAUGGGAAAACGAAGAGGAAGAAGAAAGAUGAAAGCUUUACCAAGAAAAAAGGAGGGAGGAAUCACGGAAUGAAGGGAAGAAGAAGCCGACUCUGAAGAGCACAACACAAGAGAAGGAAAGCUUUGGUUUUGGUUUGGGCAUUUUAUAUGUGGCAACACCCACUGCCCUAUCUCUCUCUCUCUCUUUCCAAAAAUAAAUCAACAUUAUAUUAAGAACCCUAACAAAAUAUUUCUUCAUCUCAAUUUCCUUAUUUUGCAUAGAAUAAAAUAAUAUAAAUUUAAAUUAAUUGGUUAUUAUUUUUAAAAUAGAUUUGAAAUUUUGAUGUAAUAUCUAUCAUAUCAUUUUAAAUAUAAUUUGUUAUAAAUCAUAACAAAUUUAUCGCGUAUGUGAACAGAUAAUAUUUACAUUAACUUCUCUUUAAAUUUUAAAGCAAAAAUAAAUAAAAAAUGUUGAGAAUGCUAUAUUUUGUGAAAAAACUAGGUUAAGAAAAAUAUUUCAAGUGUGUGAAUUUUACCUGAAUUGAAAAAAGUCCUUAAGAUGGAUCUUUGUUCCUCAAAUUGGACCCAAUUAUCAUGAGAAUACUUAUGAUUAUGAUUGAUGAAAAUAAUUUUCUUACUCAACACCAUAUACAUAAGUAUAUUUAGGUCUCGUGCAAGUGUAAAAUAAAAUAAAAUAAGAUAAAAUAAGAUAAGAUAAAAUAAAAUAAAAUAUUUGUUUCUUCGACGAUAAUUUUCUUCUCUUCUACAUUUCUUGUUUCUUGCAAUACAUGCCAAAAACGUUUUGAACUUUUACCUCCAAUAACAAAAACUAAGACAAAUGUGGGGAAAGUAAAAGAUUUCUUUCACACCUUUGAAAACAUAUACUUAUACCACAUUAUAAUAAAUAAUAAUAUUUAAAAAUAAAAAAUAAAUUAUCUAGUAAAAUAAUAUAAAAAUACAAAUAGAAUUCAAAUUUUAAAAAGUAAAAUAAUAUAAAUACAAUUGAACACAGUUUAUAUCUAUUUGGUUUAGUACAUAAUUUUUUUUAAUAAUCUUAACGUUAUCAAAGUUUUAUUAUCUAGUUCAAUAGGAACUUAAUCACCACCUUAAGGCUCAAAUCCUAUCCAAAACCAAAACAAAAUGGUGUUUAAGUUAUGAAUGCAUGAAAGAAAUUUGAAAACCUUGCAUGUUUUCUCCAUAUUUUCAAAUGAUAAGAAGAGAUUAAAAUUGUAAUUUCAGGUCUUAUAUGAGGUGAGAAAGAAGACAUGGAGGUACAGAAAGAAAUUCCCUAUAAGGCAUUGGUUAAAGCCUCACAAAAUAGCCCAAUAAAUUUGAGGUCCACAAUCAAAUUAUUUUCACUCACUAAUAUAACUAUUCUUGUCCUUUUACAUUUAUACAUCCACCUGUUCAGAUCAAUCCACAUAAAUUCUGAACAUAACUUUAAAUAAAUUAAAGUUAAAUAUACUUUAAAUUUAAUUAUCAACUGCACAUUAUUUCCAUACUAUUUUUAAUAUACAAAAACACAAGUGGUUACAAUAGAAAAUAACACAUCUGAAAUUUAUGAAGAAGUUAUAACUUAUCUUAAAUAUAUAUAAAUAUGAUGUCCCUUUCAAUGCAUGUUGAUAUGUUGAUGAAUAUAUAUAGCAUAUGGUUUAGGUAAAGAGAGAGAGAGAAAGAAUGAGCAUGCAUUUCCAUUACUAGAAAUAGUGUUAUAUGGUGAGUUUGGUGAAGACUUAGAAGCACUGAAUAAUGGCUACCAUUUUCAUCUUCAUCUUCUUCUUCUUCCUCGUACCCUCUUGUAACCACCUCAAACCUUCUUUUUUUGUUUCUAAUUUUUCAUUUCUAUUGUCACCAUUCAUAUCUCUUUCACUGGGAAUGCAGAUGGAUUCGACUCGUUGGAUCCUCUUGGCAACAUCACCAUCACAUGGGAUUAUUUCUCCGACAACGGGAAUUCAGUCGACGUAACCAUUUCUACUUUUUAUUUUUCUAACUUACGUAUUCUGUUCUGAUUUACCCUUUUUAUGGGCUCUUCAUCAUCGCCGUCUAAGAAGAUAUCAAAGUGACUUAGUCAGAAUGUCUGCGGGUUUUCGAUGUUCUUAAGGAAACAGUGAGAUGCGUACGCUUUGUUUGUUUGUUUUUUAGGGUUAUGUUCGGUCUCUUGUAUACUUCCAAUCACUUCAUGCCACGUCAGCUAAACAUAGUGCAUUUCUUUGGCAAUAUAUGAGGCCAUUCUAGUAGUUCACUCUGUCUCAAUAGUCUCGUCUACGUGGGUUGCUGUUCAAGUGUAUGUAACAGUUUCUAGAUUAAUCAAGAUUAAGAUAUAUAAGUGUUUAUAAAUCUCACUUAUAAGCUAGUUUUAUAAAAUUGAUUAUCAGAGUAAUUCCAAACUUAAUCUAAUUAUUUGUUGGAUUUAUCAGUCUACCCAACACGAAUUGGUAAACUCGAUGUGCAGAUGUGUUGAAGAUUCACGUUAACUAGAGAUUAUGACUUAUAAAUACAUGCAAAUCUCACUUUAUAAACUGAAUUAAGCUUAAAGUUAACCUAUAGUUUCGUAUAAAUACUGAACUGCAAUAGCAUGCAUGGUAACAAGUGCGAUUUAUGGUGUGUUUGGUUUACUUGGUAGGUGAGGGUAUCACUGAACAACUUGCAGCUAUUUCGUCACGUGGAGGAACCCGGUUGGAAUUUGGGUUGGGCAUGGAAAGGUGAUGAGGUGAUUUGGGCUAUGUUGGGAGCAGAGGCAAAGGAGCAAGGGAAUUGCACAAGAUUUAGAGGACAACAGAAACCACACUGUUGCCAGAAGGAGCCUGUUAUCAUUGAUCUCAUGCCUGGAACCCCCUACAACAUGCAGACUGCAAAUUGCUGCAAAGGUGGGGUCCUAACAUCCCUAAAACAAGAUCAUUCCAAAGGUGGCGCCACCUUCCAGAUGAAUUAUAUCAAAGCUUCAGUCUCCGAUUCAGGUGGCAGUUUUAGCAUGCCUGAGAAUUUCACCCUUGGAGUUCCUGGCUAUAGCUGUGGGACACCCUUUCAAGUCCCCCCAACCAAGUUUACCAAAGAUGGACACAGAUGGCAACAAGUCUUGGGUCAGUACUGCUUCUUAAUAUCUCUUUUAUGCCUCACAAAGUUACCUCAGAAUCGUUAAUAACUCUACUUAUGUAUAUGAUAACAUGGUCAAAAUUAUUCUAUACACAUCAAUCUUUUCUGCUCUUGUUUUAUCUCACGUGAGUUAUUUUGUUGGAAUUAUGUGGGUUAUAUAUGCAUUCUUCUGUCUGAUAAGUUGUUUCGACAUGCUCUUUGUUCAUGUAUAUUUCAACAGCUUGGUGUGGUUCAUAUUGUAUUUUUUUUGUGGAUUACUUGCAGAGACUUGGAAUGUGACUUGUAUUUACUCCCAGUUUCUAGCAUCACCUACUCCAACAUGUUGUGUCUCUUUGUCUGCAUUCUACAACAGUACCAUUGUUCCUUGUCCCACAUGCAGUUGUAAUUGCCAAGGACUACCAGGAGCUACUAAUUGCGUCGAGUAAUUCUUCUCAUCUUCACUUAAUUUAUGCUUCAAAGCUUCUUUCAUAGAAUAACCAAUAAUCUAUUUGCAGUUCUGAUAAGACUUCAGUGUUGCAAGUACCACAAACAAAUCGCGGAGAAGCAUCAGCGGCAGUGAUCAGGUGUUCACAUCACAUGUGCCCCAUUAGCAUUCACUGGCAUGUGAAGCAAAGUUAUAAAGAGCAUUGGCGGGUCAAGAUCACAAUCACAAACAUGAACUUUGUCAAAAACUAUUCCCAGUGGAAUUUGGUGGCGGUUCACCCUAACUUCCGAAGCGUAACCCAAGUCUUCAGUUUCAACUUCCAAACCCUAUCAGUUUAUGCAAAUUUCAGUAAGUUACUGCAUUAUUGUCACCAUUAAUAAUACUGUAAGAGUAUCACACCUCAAUCUAAGAACCACAGUCACAUAAAAACACUUUGUUUGAACUAUGAGACUCAGAUACUCCUCUUAAAUAACAUGUCUAUGUCGGAUGCCUGUAUCGGUGGUGAAGUUUCAAAUGCAAAAAAUAUUUAUUAGAUUUAUGACGAAUGAGUGUUUUGAUGGUGUAUGGAUUUCAGGUGACAUAGGGAUGUUUUGGGGGCUACCAUACUACAAUGACAGGUUGCUGACACAUGGAGAGAAUGGGCAUGUGCAAACAGAGGUGUUACUACACAAAGAUCGAGGAGAGUUCAGGUUCAACGAAGGAUGGAGUUUUCCUAGAAAAAUUUCAUUCAAUGGCGAUGAGUGUGUGAUGCCAUCUCCUGAUGCAUACCCUACACUCCCCAACACAGCUCAUAUUUCCACAACAACCCUUCCCACAAUUUUCCUUUCACUGUUACUGCUCUCAAUUUGUUCUACAUCUUUAGAAUGAAGAAUUCUAGUUUAGUAUUUCAUAGUUUAGCGUCACACUGUAUUUCUAGUUAUUUCGUGUAGUCAAAACCUCAAUAAUAACAAAUCAACUGUGUUAUAACCUUUAAAAUUGGUCAAAACACCAUUAAAAAAAAUUAUUAGAAAAAAAAUAAUUUUAAAAACUAAAAUAUUUAAAUAUUCACUAAAUUAGAUUAGAAACUAUUUUAUAAAUUAAAUUAAAAAAUUAUUAGUAUAUAAAGUAUUUUCUCUCAUUAAUACAAAAUUAUAAAAUAAUUUUUAAUUUAAUAUUUAUUCAUUAGGUAUCAAGAUUUUAGUUACUUAACAUUUUAUAUUUUAAAUUAUUAAUAUUUAUUAAUCUUUUAGAUACUAAUUUAAAAUCUAAAAUAUUAAUAAUUAAAACUCAAAUAAGUAAUUUAGAUAUCAAUUUAAAAAUUAUUUUAUAGAUUUUUAUUAAUGAUAAAAAUCAGUUUAGAUAUUAAUAAUUUUCUAUUCUCUAAAUUAAUAUCUAAUUUAGUAAAUAUAAAAACUAAUUAAAUUUAUCAAUAAAUUUAAUUGUUAUUUAAUAAUUUUUUUAUAAUAUAUAAAAGCAAUUACAACUAUGGCACUAUAAUAAUAAAACUUUGCACUCAUUAACCUUGCGAAUUGAAUGAACGAUCGUUUUAUUCCAAUUUCAAGUUUGACUUCUUAACCCUAAUUGGAUACGUUGUAGUAUUUAAUAAAUCAUUAACUAUUAUUUUUAAAUUUUAAGAUAAUAUUGAUUAUUUUUUUAUCAUUUAUAUUGUUUUUCCUCAUUAGACGCUUACUUAGUUUAUAUAUGUAUUUGUUAUAAUAUGAAAACUAAAAAGGAUAAAACAGAAAUUCUUAUAAACAUUUUAUUAAAAUAAAAAUUGAUUACGUUUCUCCAAAAAAAACCUACAAUACUUAAAACAAGACAAAUGAACACAACAUAAUGUGAUCAAAAAUCACAUUAUCCGUUUCUAUUAAUAUCAAUUAUACAUUUAUUUAUUUAAGUCUCUAUUCUAUUUAUACAUUUAUUUAUUAUUUUUCUAUCAAUUUCUCUAUCUUCUUUUAUAUUCUUUUUUUUAUGAUUUUUUUUUCAUCUCACCGCACACUACAAGAGAAAAUUUUAGGUUAAUUUUUCCAUCUCUUUUCAUUUGUCUUUUAAAAUUAUUUUGCAAAAAAAAUAAAUAAGUUUUCUUAUUUUAUCACUUUCUUUCUCCACCUCUAUUAAAAAACACAGAGUUUAAUAGUUUAGAAAUAAUAGUUUAAUAGAGUUUAUUUUCUUCUUAGAUAUAAAAGUUACUUGAUUUUAUUUAUUUGUUUAUGAUUUUUUAAAAUGAUAAUAUUUCUUUACUUUUUGCAUAUUUUUUAAUUAACAACAACAUUUUUAUUGUUUUUCAUCUCUUUUUCUUUUCUUCUCUUUUUAUCACACUUUAUUUUAUUAUUUUCAUCCAACCAAACAUAAUAAUAAAGAUAUAGUGCCGAUUAAAUAAAUAAAUAAUAAUUUAUACCUCUAAGGGAAUUUUCUACUUUUCUAAAUUAUUUCCUUAUUUUAUCUUUAUUUUAUAUUUUUUUUAUUAAUUUAUUUUGAUUAUUCAGACAUUUUAUAAUUUUAUAAAUUAAUAAAAUAGUUUUUUAAUUUUAAAAUUUUAUGUUAUUUAUUCUCAUUUAACUAUUUGGAGAGAUUGAUAUACGUUAAUUUUAUUUAUUGUCACCUGACAGGAGGAGAGUGGAGAGAUUAAUUACUUUCCUGUUUUAAACUUAUAUUCUUCUUUAUUAAAUAAACAAUUUUAAAAUUUUAUUUGUUCCCACUUAACUGUUAAGGAAGUGGAGAGAUUGACAGGUUAAUUAAUUUUAUUUGUGAUCACUUAACUAACAGAAUGGUGUAGAGAUUGAUUAUCAGAAGUAGCGUUGAAUGUAGAACAAUUUUUUUAUUUUCUCUCUCUUAUUUUAUCUCUCUCCUUCCAAAUCUUUUGAAACCCAAUAACAUAUUUCUCAUACAUACAAAUACACAUGAAUUUAUAUUUAAAUAUAUAUAUAAUAAAAAAAACUAAAAAAUACGAAUGAACAGACGAAAAGAUCAAGCAUCGCCUAAUAAUAAUAAUAAUAAAGAUAUAGUGUAAUAAAUAAAAGCGUAAUUAAUAUUAUUUGAACUAUCUGAAUGAGAAAUAAAUAAAAACAAAAUAGUCAAAAGAAACAACACUUAAAAAGGAAGAAAUAACUCUUUACUAUUAUAAAUCAUAAAUGCCAAUUAAACUUUCAACUCUGACUUUUUAGUGAGAUUGGUUAAUGUGAUAUAAUUAUUAAUUACAGAAGUUAUGGCAACACAUGAGAACAAAAUAUAAUUUAAUUAAAAUAGUUGUUACAUUAAAUAUCAAUUAAUGAUCAUAUAUAUAUUAAUAAGAAAAUAUAUAAGUAUAUUUUUAUUAGAAAAUGAUAUAUAAGAUUUUUUUUUCUAAAAUUUUCUUUAUUAAAGAUAUAUAGGAACUAUUUUUUUUCUAUACCCAUCAAUUUUAAGGAGUCUCACUUCUAAAUUUUGUUAAUUUAUCCUUAAGUUCAAGUUAAUAGCACUCUUAUUCCAAGAUUCUCCCUUAUAUUGAUUAAAAUUUACUGAAAAUUAACAAUUCUAAUGGGUAUAGCUACUAAAUAAAAAAUAUUUAUUAAAUGAGAAGUGAAACCUUCCAAAAUUAAUUAAUAAAAAUAACAUUAGAAAAAGAGGAGUCAACGAAAGUGUAUGUAUACCAAUAUAUUUCAAUAUCAGAUAUUUAUAUGAAAUUGCUUUAGGGUUUCAAAAAACUACUAAAAAAGUUAAUUUAUGCAAAUAUAAAAGCUAAUUAGCUUUAUUAAUUUCAUUUAAAAACAAAUAUCCAUCCUUCAAUUAUUUUUCAUUAUAAUUUGAUAUAAAAAAUAUUAAAAUUAAUAUUUUAAUUUCAUAAAACAUAUUUUUGGGGAUAAUAUAUCAUUAAAUAAGAUAAUAUAAUUAAUAUUUUUUGUAUUUUAAACUAAAAUACAUUAUUUUUAUUAUUAUUUAUAUUCAAGACCGAAUGAAAUAUUACAUUUUUUCAAAUCAAUUGUACAUAAAAAAAUAAGUAAUUUUAAUAGUUGAAGAUAAUAGUAUAUUCAUAGUAUACUUGUAAUAUUUCUUUUCAGCGUUUAGUUUAUUAUCUAAACUUAAUUGUUUACUUGGUUCAAGUAGAAUUGAGACUAAAUCUCUUAAAAAAUGUUAGAUUCUUAGUAAUAUAAGUGAAACAAAUAUAAUUGAAAAAAUUAAUAAGAUAUGAUAAUUUUCAAUCAUAAUAAAAAUAAUUAUUAGUAAAAUCAGUGAAUAGUACAUGUAUACAACAAGAAAAUCAUUAAAUAUCAAUUAAUUUUAGACUAAUUAAUUAAAUUAAAUAUUAUUUUAUAAAUUAAAAAAUUAUUGAUAUUUAAAUUAAUUUUUAUUAUUAAUAAAAAUGUAUAAUAUACUUUUAAAAUUAAUUAGAUAUCAUGAAUUUAAAAACUAGUUUCUAAACUAUAGUAUAUAAAAUAGUAUUUAUUAUUAAUAAAAUUUAUAAUUUAAUUUUUAAAUUAUGACUAAUUAAUACGAGUUUAGAAAUUAAUUUAUAAAUUUCAUUAAUAAUAAAAAAUACUAUAUAUGAAUAAUUUUUAUAAUUUUUAAAAUAAUAUCUAAUAUAAUUAAUAUUAACUACUUUUUGUCUUUAAAAUUAAUUUUGUUGUGAUAAAAUUCGAUAAAGCUAAAUUAAUAUUUUUAAUAUCAAUAUAAAAAAAAUUAGUAAAAUUCAAUCCUAUGCUUCCGUGUCAAAAUAAAUAAGAUUUUCGAAAUAUAUCUGAUAACAAAACAUAUUGACAAACAGACUAAUUAAUAUCAUAAUUGCUCAUUAAUAUGUAUAACUCAUUCAACUCAUCAUAUAAUAUUUAAUAUUAACUAUUUAAUUAAUUAAAUAACUUUUUUUAAAUAUAUAUUUGUCAUUUAGUCCUAUUUGAAACCGUUUCUCUUUGACUUAAACUCUCAUCUACAACUUCAACGCUAGAAUCCCUCACUUAAAAGAAGGUGAAUAAGCAUGAGAGAUUAAGUUUUUAUUUAUUUUUUUAUUACACAAAAGCAAGUAUUUUUCAAUGUAAAACAAUUCAUUAUACUAAAGUCUUACAAAAAUUGUUUAGAUAAACUACAAGAAAAUCAUGAAAUAGAAACUAAUUUUAUAGAUAAAAAAUAAUUAGUUGUUAUAGUGACUAAAUUAGAUACCAUUUUAAAAACUAAAAAAAUAGUUUUUAAAUAUUUUAUUAUUGUUAAAUAGUUUAUAAAUUGAUAUCUAAUUAGCUAUACCAAUUAUUUAUAUUCUAAAAUUGGUAGCAAAAACUUUGGUUACUAAUUAGAUACUAAUUUAGAAACCAUUUAACAAUAAUAAAAAUUAAUUUAUAAACUAAAAAUAUUUUUAGUCUCUAAUUUAGUCAUUAUAACAACUAAUUAUUUUUGUCUAUAAAAUUGGUUUCUAUUUCAUGAUUUUCUUGUAGUGGGAGUCUUAGAAACAAUUAUCUUCUACUUUUCCUCUCGGUUUUUCAGCUUCUCACUAAUGACUUAGACUUUCUAUGGAUCAGCUAACUUGGAUUAUAUUAUGUGGGCUUGGACUUAUUUUUGGCUAUUAGAUAUGGACUAUCACUCAGCUAUUGGAUCUGGGUCAGCUCUCAGCUUCUAGAUCCAAAGUGAGUGUACCUGUAAGGGGCUCCGAUGGUAAAGUUAUAAUUGGUUUGUUUGAUUAUCAGAUAAAAAAAAACAUUCUACUUACCUAUUACACAAAUCACCUAUUUUAUAUUUUAACUUGAUUGGACUUUUACUUUUCACACAUUAUAGUUACUAAGUAUAUUUCAAGUGUUUUUUGUCUAUUUAUUGAACUUUGAUACAAUGCUAUUUUAUUCUAUUAUUUAUUUAUAUUUUAACUUUCAAUAUUCUGAGAGUCUUACGGCCUUUUGACCUUUCGACCUAGUCAUUACCGUUUACAAAAGUCAAUUACAUACACAUGUACAAUAUAACUUUUUAUUUUAGAAUUAUUAAUUCUUCUUAAGUAGCCUAAUUUAGUUUCUCUUUUUUUUUGUGUUUCCCAAGAAAACUUAUAAAUAUAAAAUGUUAGAGAAGUCCUAACCUACUUCUAGAAGACUUGUUUAAAAAACGAAACACAUUAUAAACUUAUACUACUUACACUAUAAGAAAUCAUUAAAUGAAAACUAAUUUUAAAGACCAACAUAAUUAGUUUUUAUUUGAACAAAUUAGAGACCAUUUUAUAAACUAAAAAAAAAAAUUGGUAGCUAAUUUAGAAAUUAAUUUAGAAUAUAAAGUACGAAGUAGCUAAAAUUUUGGUAGCUAAAUUAUAGAGACUAAUUCUAGUCUCCAAAAAGUCAUGAUGCAAUCCAACUUCAGAGGUAAGAAGUUGCCUAACCGAUAGUGUGCCAUUAAAGCUUUAGAAUUGAGUUGCACUUACACAUACAUAUAUGUGUGAUUAUGUAUAGUUAUAUGUAUAUUGUUUAGGUUGAAUAUAUGUAUGAUUAUGUAUAGUUAUAUGUAUAUUGUUUAGGUCGAAUGAGCAAAAGGUUGAAAGGUCGAUAAUAAGAUGAAAAACUAAACAAAAAUGAAUAAAUAAUUAAAUAAUAAAAUAUUAUAGCAAAAUUCAUUGAAUAGAUCUAAAUAUGUACAAUAUGUUUAAGAAAUAUACACUAAAAGAAAAUCAUGAAAUAAAAACCAAUUUGUAGAAACCAAAAUAAUUAGUUGCAAUAGUAACUAAAUUAGAGACCAUUUUAGAAACUAACAAAAAAAUUGGUUUCUAAAUUAGUUUCUAUUAUUUUCUAUUAUUGUUAAAUAGUCUCUAAAUUAGUAUCUAAUUAGCAACCAAAGUUUUUGCUACCAAAUUUAGAAACUAAAUAAUUGGUAGUUAAAACAUUAGUUGCUAAUUAGAUACCAAUUUAAAAACUAUUUAACAAUAAUAUAAAAUAAUAGAAAGUAAUUUAGAAACCAAUUUUUUGUUUAGUUUCUAAAAUGAUCUCUAUUUUAGUUCCUAUUGUAACUAAUUAUUUUGGUCUCUAAAAAUUGGUUUCUAUUUCAUGAUUUUCUUGUACAAAUAGUAAAAGUCCAAUUGGGUCUAAAGUUCAAUAAGUGAGUACUAUAAACAGGUGAUCAACUCAAGAAGUAAGUAGAGUGAAUUCUAUCUUAUAAUUAACCAAAAUCGAUUAUGACUUUAUCAUCGGAGCUCCUUAUAGGUACACACAUCCGCCUGAGAGCUGACCUUGAGUCUAAAAGUCAAGAGUCCAAGUUGACUAAACCAGAAUCCGUCCAAGUCCAAACUAGUAAACAAUGUAGUUGAAAGUCCAAGCUUGAAUCAAAAGAUCGUGAAGCCAAGAAGUUAAGAGAAGAAGAAAUUCAUUGUUUUUAGGCCUUGUAAGAACAUUAUGAAUUGUUUUAAGCAUGACGAAAUAAACUUAAAAAGUUGUCAGUAGUCAAUCCUAAAAAACGUAGUUGAUAAAAUACGUUGAAGUUCAUUAAAAAAAACAAAGAUCUCAAUUAAACUAUUAAUGAAAAAAAUUAAAUAACCUAAUUAAUGCUUCGCGUUUAAUCCGGAAAAUAAAAUGAUGGUUUGAAGGAUUUGUUUAAAAAACAUGAUCAAAACACAUUAAAAAAUGAUAUAUUGACAACUUUCACCAGUCUACAACCUCAAUUUUUACCUAAAACUUGUAUCCGUUUAUGAAAUAACGAAAAUAACCUUUCUUUAUAUCAUCGAUCACUCGUUGAAUAUUGAAGCAUAGUUGUCAAAAUAUCAUUACUCAAGAUGCACAUGUAACCCUUGUUGAGAUGACGUGUCACAUCCCACCUUCUCUUCUUCUCUAUAAAAGCAUGAACACAUAUCACCAUUCAUACAUCAACCUAUACCUUACCCUUUCAUCUCUUCACACCCCAAAUCCCAAAACACCAUCACCAUGUCAAGCGUCAACACCAGUGCUUACACCACCCAACUCCGAGCCUCUCACUUGGAAGUACAGUUUGGGUACGAGGAGUGUUGCCGCAACCAUGCAGUGGCCGUAGGAGGAGCUUCCUACGAUGGCUGCAACGAGUAUCAGAAAGCAAGGUCGCAGAACUCUUUCCUCUGUGCAUGCUGUGGUUGUCACCGCAACUUUCACCGCAAACGCCCUACUUUGAAAAGAGAGCGCCGAACUGAAGCAGGGAAUGGUCGUGCUCUGGAUAUAGUUCCUGUUUCAGAGACGUUUCGCCCGGAGCGUAGCAACAACCCAGAGCCACUGCAGCUGGUGAGGCCACUGAGGAGGAGGAGGACGAGGUUCUCGCGCGACCAGAAGAAGCAAAUGACGAGGUUUGCUGAGAUAUUGGGGUGGAAACCUCACAAGGGUAACAGGGAGGAUAUUCAACGUUUCUGCACUGACAUGGGAAUAAGCCGGAAGAUCUUCGUGGUGUGGCUGAACAACAAUCGUCACCGUGCAACUCCGAAUGUGAGUGAUCCAUGAAGCAGUUAGAGGUUGAUGGUUGGAUCGGUCUUGGCACUUGGCAUUAAUAAGGAUUUUGUUUCCAUGUAUUGUUCCUAGUAUCAGUGUGUUUGUGUUUGUGUUUGUUCUGUGUUUUUCUUUUCAGUUUAUCUGUGUUUUCAGUGCUUUGACUUUUAGUGAUGUAGUCCAUGUGCCAUGAAUUUCUAAGUGAAUGACUGUUAUGUGUUUCAAAUGCAUUCUUCAUUUUCCUUCACUCUAUCUUCAACCUACCUCAAAAAUACUUCCUUAUUAACCGGAUCUAAAUUUUAUCUUAUAAGCCGAUUUUAUAAAGUUGUUGAGUUAAACUUAAAGUUCACUUCUUAAUAUAUAUCAGAGUCAUCUAAGGUUUAUCUCAAGAAAAUAUAUAUCAAAGUCAUCUAAAGUUUAUCUCAAAAAAAUAUAUAUCAGAGUCAUCUAAGGUUUAUCUCAAGAAGGGUUUGUUGAGCUUACAUUCCUUAUGUCAUCGAUGAAUGAUAAAUAUAUAAUCUUAUUAUACCAUUUUUAUUUUUUUAAUCUUUCUCGCUCUAAAUAGAAGUCAUGUCAAGUUUAUAUUAAAUUCUAAACACAUAUACAUAUUCAUUAAAAGAAAACUACUAAAUUAAAAUGAUUUUUUGUGGAAUCUUUCCUCCUUUCAUAAAAUCAAAGCUCACAAUUUAAUUUUUCUUUUGGAAAAAAAUUGUUUCACAAGCUCAACACUAAAAGAAUUUCAUUUAUAAUAAUAUAAUAUUAUUUUUAAUUAAAAAUAAAAUAAAAAUAACUGAAAAGAAUAAUUAUUGAAUUAUUAAGGGUGUGUAUUUAAUUUUUGGAGAGUCGAGAAUAAUCACUCUUUUGUUUUAUUAAAAACCGUCACCUUAUUGUCAUGACUUAUUAAAUUUUGUUUUGUCGUUUCUUCUUAAAAAAAUUAAAGUCAUAUGCACCAUUUACUUUAACGUGCCGGUAAUAUAAAUAUUAUGCUUGUUAUAUACGUUACUCGAUAACUAAAAUCCAAUACAAUUAAAUAGGAGAAAAAAAAUUAAUGAUUAAUGUGAUAACGGGUAAUUGAAUAUUUUUUUUAUAUAUUUUUCUUCAAGCUUAUUCAUACUCAUCAAUGUGGAAAAACUCACACUUAUAAUCCUAAUAUUAAUAUAUACUACAAUAAAAUCAUUAAAUAGUAACUAAAUUUAGAAGCAAAAAAUAAUAAUUAGUCACUAUAUUAACUAAAUUAAAUACUAAUUUAGAGAAAAAUUAUUCAUAUCUCAAGUGAUUUCUAUUAUCAGUAAAAAUUUAUAAAAUGAUUUAUGUAUUUGUAUCUAAAUUAGCUACCUAAGUUUUAGCGAUUGAUUUUUUAGAUUUUAAUUCAGUCUCUAAAAGAUUAAUAGAGACUAAUUUAGAAUAUAAGUAGUAAAUAGCUAAAAUUUUGGUAGGUAAUGGUUAGAUACCAAUUUAGAAACCAUUUUAUAAAUUUGUAUUAAUAAUGGAAACUAUUAUAGAUACCAAUAGUUUUUUUAGUUUAUAAAAUAGUCUCUAAUUUAAUGAAAUAGUAACUAAUUAUUUUGAUCUCUAUAAUUAGUUUCCAUUUUAUGAUUUUCUUGUAAUAAUAUUAGAUAAUAAAAAAGCGUAACAAUUCAAGAUCAAAAAAUACUAUCCAAAUUGAAAAAUCAAUACAAAUAUAUAGUUUCAUCUUGUCGUACAAUCUCUUAGUCAUGUACAUCUUGUUUCUCUCAAAAAGCAUGUCUAAAAAACAACCAUAUAUUAUCGAAUAUGAAUCUACAUAAUUGAAAUAUUGAAUAUACAUUUUUCAUUUUCUUUCACUCUCUCUUCAAAUGACCUUAAAAUAACAUUCUCUUUAACUUCGUUAUUUGUUUAUUUAAUUUGGAUGAGCACCAUUUCUAUUUUCUUAAUCUUUGUCAUUCUAAAUAGAAGUCAUGCCAAGUUUAUAUUAAGUUUGCAUUUGUAUCUCAUUUGUUUUACAUUGAAUUUGACAUAUUUAUUAUAAGAAAAUCAUUAAAUAUAAACUAAUUUUAAAAAUAAAAAAUAUUUUUUAUUAUAUUAUAAUCUUGUUUAAAAUAAAAUAUUGUAUUAUAAGAAAAUAAUAAUUUUUAUGGAUGCUGAGUGAAUAGAACUAGUGUUAAGGUAUCAUUACCCAAAAAAAAAGAAUGAAAAUGUCAUAAUAAGAUUUUGAUGGUGAUAGAUUGACACAACAAAUAAUAAAAAAUAUGAACUAACAAACCAAUAAAUUAAUAUUUUAAUAUGUUUAAUUUAUUUUUUAAUUUAAAAUAUUAAUAUAUUAUUAUAAUAGGCUGUCGAGUACAUGUGAUUUACUUUUUUGGUGUCAAAGUAAUCUUUUACACAAAAUUGUCCUCUUUUCAUAAAAUGAAUCCCACAAUUUAGUUUUUUUUUUUUGAAAAAAAAUUGCUUCACAUCCUCAACACUAAAAAAAAAAUCAUUUAUAGCAAUAUAAUAUUAUUUUAAAUUAGAAAUAAAUAAAUAUAACAACAAAAAUAAUUUAUUGAGUUAUUAAGUAAUUGUAUUUAUUUUUUGGAGUGUUAGAGAAUCAUCACUCUUUUCUUUUAUUAUAAAUCGUCACCUCAUUAUCCUGACUUAUUAAAUUUUAUUUUGCCGUUUCUUCUUAUAAAAAUAAAGUCAUAUGCACCGGUUUACUUAGCGUGUCGUUUAUCAAAAUAUUAUACCUGUUCUUUACUUUACUCGAUAACUAACAUUCAAUACAAUUAAAUAGGAAAAAAGUAUAACGAUUCAAGAUAUAUUAGAUAAUAAAAAGUAUAAUGAUUCAAGAUCAAGAAAUACUACCCAAAUUGAAAAACAAUAAUAAUAAAUAGUUUCAUUUUCUACUACAAUAAUUUCUUAGUCAUGUACAUUUUCUUAAGAGUGAAGUCCUAAGUUCCUCUCAAAAAAUAUUUUAAAAACAAUCAUAUAUUAUCCAAUAUGAAUUUAUAUAAUUGAAAUAUCAUCCAUGUAAAUUUCAUUAGACUUUAGAUCAUUUAUCGAUAUGUGCGUAUCAUGCCAUAUUAAUAUUCAUUGUAUCCUUCCAAAUUUUUUUUCAUGACCCAUGCUUUUGUGUUUUUUUUUUUUUUUUAAUUUUAGGUUUUUCUUUUCAUGUGACGACACAAUUUAACACUACGAAACACUACGAAACAAUCAUUGUUAAUUUUAGAGACAAGAAACAAUUAGUCAUUGACUAAAUAUUUUAGAAACUACAAAAUUAUUGAUAUUCAAAGUAAUUUCUAUUAUUAAUAAAAAUGUAUAAAUUAUUAUCUAAAUUAGCUACCAAGAGUUUAGUUAGUAAUAUUUUAGAUUUUAAAUUAGUCUAAAAAAUUAUAGAGACUAAUUUAUAAUAUAAAAUAUUUAGUAGCUAAAACAUUAGUAAUUAAUAGUUACAUACCAAUUUAGAAACUAUUUUAUAAAUUUUUAUUAAUAAUAAAAAUUAUUUUAAAUAUCAAUAAUUUUUAAUUUAUAAAGUUAUAUCUAAUUUAGUUAAUAUAAUAAUUAAUUAUUUAAUUUUUAUAAUUAGUUUUUAUGUAAUGAUUUUUUUGUUGUAAUGUUAUGUCUUGUAAUUGAAUAUAGUUUUAUGAAAGUAAAAUUAAGAAAUUAUGUAGCUGUUUUUUAGUUGACGAAGUUUUAAAGAAAUUAUACGGUCAUCCAUUUUAAUAAAUAAAAAUUAAUAUAAUUUGAUAAAGCAUAAUUAUCUAGUACAAAUAUAUUAAAAUUGGUUAAAAAAUUAUGUUUUUUAUACAAUAAUAUAAAUAAUAACUCAAUUAAAUAAUGUGAAUAGUGUAUUUUCUUAAUAUAAUAGUAUAAAUAAUAAUAAUAAUUUAAAUUAAUUAUAUGAAUAUUUAAUUAUAAUUAUUAUGUGCACUAAAAUUAUUAAAUUGGGUAAUAAAUUUAUUUAUACUAACAAUAUACAAAUAAGCUUUUAUAAUAAUAUCAACAAUGAAAUUAAUUGAAAGCUUGCAAAAAAUUAAAUUAAGUUAUAAUCUAAAAUCAAUUCAAUAUCUGUGUUUUUAUUUAUUUUUAAUGAUCAUUAAAACUAUUCUUGUAUAAUUUGAAUUAAUAUUUUUAAAUUUAUGUGUUUUUUUAUGACAUAGACAAUAUAGAGUUCCAAAUUGACAUCGCAAGAUCCAGCGUGGCACCAUGCUAUUGGCUCAGUACACGUAUAUUCCAAUUUUUUUUUUAUUUUGCGAAAUCAUUUUAUUAACCUUCUUAGUUCUAUAAAAUUCAACGUUCAUCACUCAGCAUUCAUAUUUGUUCAUUUCUGAAUUCAGAUCGAAAGGUAGAAGAAAAGGAGAGAGAAUGGACGCCAUUGAUUCCGUCUUCGAUCCCCUCAGAGAAUUCUCCAAGGACAGUGUCAGACUCGUCAAGCGAUGCCACAAACCCGAUCGUAAAGGUGUAACCCUAACCCUAACAUUUCUCCAUCGUUUUCCUUGAUUCCUAAUUUUUUUUUUGUUUUUCUAAAUAAGAUUGAAUCUAUGUUCUGUGGAUCUUGAUUGAUUGGAUGGUUUGGGUGUUUCAGAAUUCUCUAAGGUUGCUGUGCGUACCGCGAUUGGUUUCGUUGUGAUGGGAUUCGUCGGUUUUUUUGUCAAGCUCAUCUUCAUUCCAAUCAACAACAUCAUCGUCGGAUCUGGUUAGGUAAAUUAUAACUUUCUCAGAUUUGUUUUCAUUUAUAGUUUUACCCUGUUAUUCAUUUGUCCUGCUUGGACCUCUGUCUUUUAUAUUGUUUUUGAAGCUUGGAGACUGAUCUGAUUUUUUUGUUACAAUUUAUUUGGUAAAUUUUGAAUUUUUCAUAUUGGGAUUGCUUGUUUGGUUGAGUUGUUAUUCAGAAGCAUUGUUGACCAUGUUGUGCUGGCGUGGUAUAUUGGAACGAUCUGAUAUGAAGGUUUAAUUGAAUCAGGGAUUUAGGGUAGUUAUUUGUAAAAAUAUUCGGUGCUGCUUAUGGUUACAUUUAUAGUGUAAGGCAUAGAAUGAUGAGUUAAUUGAUCGCAUUAUAUGGUGAACUUUUUACUGCAACUAUUUCUAAAUGAACAGAUAUGGCAAUCUGGUGCAGUGAUUUAUUAAAGAACAUUAAUCUGUUAGUGUGCAUAUUUUCAUGUUUUAAUAUAUGGGGAGUUUCUGCACUGUUACAUGUAUGUGAGAUUAUGCAUGAUUAUUUCUCAGUACCCUGUCUUUGCUACCGGUUUCAUUCGGAGCAUGUAAUUGCUAUCUAUGUUUUAGAUGAGAGUGCUUGGUCUGAACAUUGUUGAGGAUUUUAUUUUCUUCUUGGAAUAUGUAUACUCUUUGAAAACCAGCUUCGGUAGAUUGUCUAGUUUUUAUUAUCGAUUUAAUGCUGUUUUUCUUUAUUUUCUCUGUUUUGAGAUGUUGGCUGUUAGUGAAACUGUGUCUUUAGCUAAGUGUGCAAAAUGGAUGAUAAAUAACCCUUGAUUAUUCCGCAGGAUGAGGGGAAUUUUUCAAUUGCCUCAGGAGUCCAAGUUGUCAAACAUGAAGAGGCAGAAAGAGUUCCCACUUUGUUAGGUCAUCAUGAACUUAAUUGUAGUUUUUUUGUACUCUAUUUUUGGUGUACACUUGUAUCUUAUCUUCGGAAGCUUUACAGUUUUAUUUGAAAUAUACAAUUUUAUUCUUCCGUGUUAGACCCUUGACACAUUGUUUUGAUUCAGGAGGAAAAGGAUGAAAAAAGUAGUUGAGAAACUAUUCUUUUGGUUUUGAUUCUUUGAACUUCGCUUUCUUAGUCUUUUUAGAUAUUUUAGAGCAAAAAAUAAGAAAGUCCACACCCAUUGAUGAGGUGGAACUUGUAUAAAUAAGUUGCCAAGAACAAAAUAAAUUUAAAUUAACUCGAACUGUUUAAAUGUUGAUAGGCAAUAACAGUGGUAAUUAUUCUUCACCUCCUUUUCUUAAGGAUCCAUAUUUUUUGUACUUUGACAUACUGCUGAAAGUUACAACAUAGAACCCAAUUAUAUGUAAAAUAAGUUAAAUACUUGAAAUCAAAAGAAAAAAAUAUAAGAAGGUUACAGAACCAGAAGUUUUCUUCAUAAUCUGUGACAUAUAUUUGUUUGAGUAAAAAUCUGGUGUUGUGUGUAAAGAUUUCCCGUUUUAAAGUCGUGCUGGUGAGGUUCACUUACAGGGAAAUUAAGGGGGUGGGUGGCGGAGAUAACCCAAUGGUGUCAGUGCAGCGUCUGUUACGCUCUCAAAUUCACAUUCAAAAAUGGGUUCCCUUAACCCAUUGAAACAACCCAUCCAUAUCUCCUUUACUCCUCUGGGAGAAAAAAUCAGAAAAAUAACAGCUAUAAGAGGCCAAUAAGUAAAUAAUCGUCUUCGUCUGCUCUCUGCGACAACCAUGUGCUAGUUAUCUGCUAUCUGCUACAACCAUGUGUCACUUAUCUGCUAUCUGCUACAACCUUAUGCCAGUUAUCUGCUAUAACCGUAUGCCUGCUAUCUGCUAUAACCCCAAAAUGCUCCAUGGCUUUUUCAAAAACAAUUCUCAUAGCUUAUAUUCAAUCACACCAGCAUAACCUACCCAAAAUUAUUUUUUGGAGUAAUCAGUAAAUCACAUUUGCGCAUUCACUUAAAAUGGUGUGGUUAAAUGAAGACUGAAUGACUCAAGUGUGUUUGCACUCUGAUAUACCGAAGAACAAAAUAUGAACAGUUGGGUCAUCAUUUAACGAUUCAAUUCAAGUGAAUAUGUGAUGUCGCAAGAGUUUUGAAAUCUUAAUUUCCCACUCUUUAACAGGUAGAAUUUGGGUCUGAUUCAUGUCGAUGGACUUCCACCAUUAGUCUGUACCAUUGGAAAAUUUCACUACUAAGGCUUAAACUAGUGUUAUAUAUUCAGAUGUUAAGAUCAAGUAACUUCCCUUUUCUCUGAAACUUUGUUGAAUUCAAUAAAGAAACAAGGUAUUAUUUGUUUUGUAUACUCAAUUAAUCAUUUUGUAUAAAAUAAAGAAACAAGGUGAAGGACACAGACAUGUCAAGUCCAACAGCACCACCACACUACCAAGAAUCCAAAUGGAAGAGAGCCACAUAGAUAGUAAUGAAAUGCUGUACAUAUUAAGUAAAAAAAAACAAUAAAAACACCUUGUUUCAACCAAAUAUUUUUAUACAUCUUUUUAAUUUUCUCAAGUAAGUAAAGAAUGGAAAUAAUUAACAUGCAAAUAUCACUUUUGGCAUGAAUUAAACUAAAAGGAAAAAGGGAAAGAGAAGUUUCAUAAUGAUAUGAUUCCUGUCAUGAGCAUCCCCUUAAAGCUUCGUACGUAACCAUCACGUUUGGCUUGGUACGAAUGUUUGUAGUGCAUGCCCCAUUACCCAAACCUGAAAUCUGAAACCUGAAACAUAUAACAAAAUCCCCAAUUUUUUUAAUUGGGAAAUUGAAUCACUUUUGACCGUUGACUGAAACGAGUUGGAUGACCAACCCGUUCAAAGCGAGUCAACUCAUCUCAAUUUGAGUCAAUCCAAUGUAACAUCAUCCAAAACCUCCCUAAUGGUCAUGGAUAUCUUCCCACUUGGGACACCAACACCGUCUACCUCACCCACACCGUCUACCUCACCACCGUCUACCUCACCCUCUUCUUCUGCUAUACACCGAAUUCGUUUCUGAGUUUGCCAAACACUACCCAUCAUCACCUUCCUCUUUCUCAACCAAUCCAACCCCUUCAAAACGCACGUCCAAACGGGGACCCUCACUCGUUUCACCACACAAUUUUCCAUUCCCAUAACAACUUCAGCAGCUGAAGGACGUUCAUCUUCAUUCUCUGACACACAACGUGAAGCAUAGCGUAACAAGCGAGUGAUUGUUCCAACCAUGUAACCCGGCAGUGCCACUCUGUCGUCACAAAUCUCUUCCAAAAGUUCUUCACCCAUUAACUGAAUCGCCCAUUCCACAACCGAAGCCGGCGUUUUGCACGCAUCAAUGGCCUUUCUGCCACUUAUGAUCUCCAACAACACAACCCCAAAGCUAAAAAUGUCGUUUUUCGUGCUGAGUCUCUCUGGGGUGGUGUAACAGGGGUCCAAGUACCCUAUUGUCCCGGCGGGUUGACUCACCGAGUCAACCCCUCUCACCGCCAGUCCAAAAUCUCCCAACUUCGCAUUCCAACUUGAAUCAAACAAUAUGUUGGUGGGUUUGAUGUCUCUGUGAAUCACCACAGGCUUAGCUUGGUGAAGAAACUGCACCGCACGAGCGAUUUGCAGGGCGAUUUCAACGCGUUUGGGCCAUGUGGGUGGGGUUUCGUUGGAAUGAAGCAGGUCAUGGAGAGAGGCAUUGGGCAUGAACUCCAUCACAAUGAGUUUGUGGCUGUGAUCAUCAUCACCACUGGUGGUUCCUAGAAGAUUAACCACAUGAGGGUUUUCGGGUAGAGAGGAAAGAACUCGGAUUUCGUUUUGGAGUUUGGAGUUAUCGUGAAGAGAUUGAAGGCCCUGUGAUGGCUUCUUUACAGCGACCACUCUGUAGCUGUUGUUCUCUUUGAACUGAACAACGCCUUUGUACACCAUGCCAUGGCUUCCUUUCCCUACCACCCUUCUGGGGUUGAAGUUUUCUGUUGCUUUCACAACCUCUUCAUACUCAAACUCUUCCAUCGUUUCACUGUUUCUUCUUUCAAUGGUGUUUUCUUACAAGGAGUGGAAUAUCUACGACUAAAUGCAGAGAGGAAAAGAAAGAAAUAUUGAACAUGAGAUUGUUAGAAGACAAAAGUAAUGUUUUAAGAACACGAAAAAGGAUCUUCCCAAUAAGAUAAUUUAUUUUGUUUUUAGUAAGAUGAGGCUUUGAGGAGUUAAAACAACACCUUAAUAAUAUAUAACUGUUAAAGUGUAAGGUAUGGUUUAAUCAAUUUUACACUGUACACUUUUUACAGAGUACUUAUUUUAGUGUUUUAGGUCCAUAAACAAACACAAAUAACAAAAAAAUGAAAAACUGAGAUUUGAAGGAAGGAAUGUAAAAUGUACCUAUACAUCAGCAAUUUCACUUACUAUCAAGACCUGUCUUUGUGUUUGUGUUUCAAUAUGAAUAUGAAGAUGCAUUGAUUAGCUUUUUGUAGAACACAGAGGAAUAAAGGUGCUUUGGAGAGGUAAGAGAUAAUUAAAAUUAUGAUGGGAGAAUUAUUGAGAAAAGGAAAAGUUAAAGAAAAAGCUAAGAGUUUGUGGGAAGAAAAGGUAUCCUCUUUGGCAAAGGGACAGGGCUUAUUGGGUCCCCUUUUUCAAUUCUUUGGCUUCUUUAUUUCAACUUUUUUUAACUUUUUUCUCUCCCACUUUGCACAUUAGCUACCAUGUUAUGUUAUGUACUGUGAUUUCUGUUUUUGUCCACACAGUUACUGUUAUUUAUCAUAGGAAAAAGCAGUCAGAAUCCUUAGCUAAUUAUGUAUCCCAAAGACAUACCUUAACUUUUUAUAUCAAUCACUUAUGUAAAAGGAAAGCAAGGCAUCCAAGGAGAGAUUAGGAAUGUGUAAAGCAAAACAGAUUAUGCCAAACUCGUUUAUUUAAGAGCCAUUUAUCAUUUAUUGUGUCAAAUUAUCUUGUCAUGGAGACAUUAAAACACUUAGAUAACAUUCAGAAUUCACUUCUCCUACCCAAAUUUAUACAAUUUUUCUGAUGGAAGGUACUGAACAGAUGAUUUUAAUUAUCUGAUCUGGCAUAUAUAAGGAGAGGUUUCUGACUAUUUUUGGCAUUUCUGUUGUCUACGGAAGUGAUUUGAAGGGAAUAAUACUUUGACAAUAGGUCACCCAACACAACUUUUAAAUCCAACUUUGCUCUUGUUUUUUUUUUCAAAAAAAAUUCAUAGGAGCUUAGUGUCCCUUUUAACUACUGCAGAGGAGCUGGUGUUGGCGUUAUGGUGGAAGAAAUGUUUCACUCUUAGUUGCUGUGCACAUUGUUUUGAGAUAAUACGAAUACAUGAAUUUGGAAGGCAAUGUGAGUAUCUCCGAAUAUAAAAAUCGUGUAAUUUUAUUUUCAGUUUAAAGUUUCGAAUGCACAUGUUUGAAAGUGAAAUAUGAAUUUCGGAUACCUAUAUCCGGAUGAAUAUCCAUAAUGGUUUUUUGGGUUCCGAAUUGUUAUAUUCGGAAGGUUUAUUGGCUGCUGGGUGUUGGAUGCAUUUAAAUGUAACCUAGUCUCAUUUAAGGGUAUUAUAGUAAUUUUACAUGACCAUGGAUGCCAAUCUGAAAUAAUAUGGUGUAGGAGAAUCAGCCUAGGUCAGUUACAGUGUGCAUGACUUAUUGGGCCUGGUCCAAUUUUUCUUUCUGCAAUUUCAGCAAGGAUAAUUACUUUCUGCACCUAAUCAAAUUUGAACCCGCACCUAAUCAAAUAAAGUGACCCACCACAACUCAUUCCCUCCCAAUUAUAAAUUGGUAAAAAAAGAGAGUAAAAAGGUUUCAUUAGGGUCCAUGUAUCUUUUAAGAGGGUUAUCUUAUCUGUGUUACCUUUAUGUUGUUCAACAUUUAAGGACUUUUUGUCUUAGACUCUGAACAUGUUACACGUUUGAUAAGGACCAUUAUCCUCUUUGUCAGGAAGAAACAAAAACUGUAAUUGGGCUAGCAGACUUUGGCCCAAAUUGAUUUGGGCUACAUUCAUAAUGCAUUGAGAACUUUAAUUAAUUAAUUUGGGUAGAAUCCAUAAUUAUUUACAAUUUUAAGUUUUUGGAAUUUGGUAAUGUAGAAGAAGUAUGUGUGUUGGUGAGAGAAGAUAGGAACAAAAUAAAUGAAUGUGAAUGGUAGAGUAGACUUUCAAUACCUACCAUAUAUCAUACUAACUCAAUUAUUGCAAUACUUAAAUAUACUUACUUCUUCACUCCUUAAAAACACCAUAAAUUAAAUUCACCUUCCAAGGACUUGCUCUUUGAAUUGACUCCAAUUUUAAAAACUAAUACAAUUUAAUUAAGAUAAAAUCGUGUUAAAAUAAACUUUUUUAAUGGUAAAGCACUAAAUUUAUCAAUAACAAUUACUAAAAACAAAAAAAUUAGAUCCAUAAAUUCAAAUAUUUCCACCACCUGACCGUGUGAUAACUAGAAGCUAAAUACCUGGUCAGAGUCAACCAACACAACUGAAUUCCUUAUGUCUAAAUAGAAGAUUAACAAGACUAAUCAGUAGUAAACAUUAGGUAGUGGUAAAACAUUAGGUAAUUUCUUAAUUAUGAUCUAAACCUCUAAUCCGGUCCAAUAAUAAAAGAUUAAUGAUAAUUAUAUAAAUAAGUACAAAUUUUAAAAAUAAGAUACAUCAUCAUUCAAUAUAAUAAUAUCGAGUACCGAAUAUCGAAAUCUUACUUUAAUGUUAGAGUGCUUUUUGUAGAUAACAUUCUAACUUAGUGUUCACGAGAACGAUGAGAAGUAAUGGAGAGUAAGAAAAACUCGAAAAUUUUGAAAAAAAAAAGAAAGAGAGGUAAAACAACCAAUUGAAAACAAAAUAGUAAACAUGAUGGUUUGAAUAUUUAAAAUGAUAAAUGAAUUAAAAUUGUUUAGUUAUUGAAUAUUUUGAUUAGUUAAGAAGAUUAUGCAUGAAUUGUUUGUUCCAUGUAAGUGGGAAUAAUAGAGGAGGAGUGGGGUGGCCCACUUCCACACAUGAUAAUUCGUUUGCUUCAAUUCUAUAAUUCGCGAGUGAUUCACACGCUCUAUAUAUUCGCGUCCCCUGCAUUCCAUUGCUAUUCACGAUCACAUCAAAAUAUAAAAUACAAAUAAAAUAAUUAAAUCAGUAGUACUUUGUACACAUAUCUUUUAUUUUUUUAAGGCGUGUUAUAAUUUUAAAUUAAACAUUAUAUAUGUAUAUGGAAUGGGUACUUCAUUCUCUUCUAAUACGUAUUCUUGCAUUUUUAUACUCUUUACGGCAUCUUUUUAUAAACAAAUAAUUGAUGGAAUACAAUGGCACUAACAUUAGUUUCUUAUUAAAAAAAAGUACUUUUUUAUAAAUGAUAAAAUUUAUCUUUUAUUUGCAAAUUUUAAAUUCAAAAUAGUUGAGAGUAAAUAUGUAUUUUUGUAAUUUUAUUUUAUAAUUAAUAAUUGGUAUGAAAAUAUGUGAAGGUUUCAAAUAGAUAUUAUUUAACUAUUUGGAAACAUUUGUUUGAUUUAAUCGGAAGAAAUGAUAAUAUAUUUGUUCUCGAAAAGGGUUGAAACCAAGAGAACUAUUGAUUAUUUUUCGGUUGGUCUAUCUUUUCACUCCACUUUCUCGUGCUCCUUUCGUUUCUCUACUCCUCGUCAUCGUGAACUCCGAGUUUGGAUGGUACCUAUAAAAGACACUCUUAUGCUUAAGUGAGAUUUUGAUGUUUGGUACUCAGUGUUGUUAGUACUGUGUGAUGACGUACCUGAUUCUUAAAAUUUGUACCUAUUUAUAUUAUUAUCAUGAAUUCUUUGUUAUUGAACCAGAUUACGGAUAUGAGUCGUAAUUAAGAAUGUAUUGUCUAAUGUUUGAUCAUUGAUUAAUCUUAAAAAAAGGGAUGAUUUUGAUUGACUUUGAUUAAAUACUGAACUUUCAUCGGAAGAUGUAAAUUGUUAAUAAAACAUAUUUUGUCUUUAAAAAACAUAAGUGAGACAGGUACAUGGAUUAACCUUAAACUUAAAUUGAAUCCAUGAUGAGAAAAGACAAUUGAAGUAUGAGUAGGUCCUAUGCAAAAGUGUAAGCAGCAAAAUCUGAAAUGGGCCUCACCAAAAUCCCUUUUCAGUAUGAAUGGAUAAAUUUGAAAGACAUAGAAAAAUAUGAAAUAUAGAUGCAUUAACCAAGAACACAGCAAGAACAUCAUAGUAACUAAUAAAGAAAUGGCAAAAACAACAGAGAAAGGUGUGCAAAGCUGACGUUGCACAGAACAUACAUUUAUCCCCUCUAUACCAUGUACAGGGAGAAGACUCAAACUAUGAGAACUGAAAAGUUUCUCAAUUUUUGCAGCUUUUAUUUUAUUUUAUUUGACCCUUUGUUUCCUUGGAUCCAUGCACAUUUUCUUCACUUACUAUCUAACUUUGCCUCCCUAUAACUUUGAAAUUCUUUUACUUUCUAAACAAAUAAAUCGAAUCUAAACUAAAAAGAAUGACAUAGAGAAAAAAAUGCAAGAGAAUAUUUUCCCAACAUUCAAAACUUAGUUCAUAAGCUUUGUUUCAUGAAGUUUGGGAGUUGGAGUGCCAUAAAAUGUAUGAGUUAUUUGAAGAAGUAUUUUGCAGAAACUAUUAAGAAGUAGACUUUAAGUUCAACUUAAUCUCAUAAAAUCGACUCAUAAGAUGAGAUUUACAUCUACUUAUAUAUUAUGAAAUGUCUUAAUCUCUAGUUAGUGUGAGAUCUUCAACACAUCUUUCUCACACGCUGAGACUACCAACUCGUGCAUUACACUAUAUAUUAUGAAUGAUCCGAUAACGAUCUGAUAGCGAGUGACCUGAUAAGUCCAACAAAAAAUUACUAGUAGGAUAGACUCAUACCAUAUUAAAAAGUGAAAUUUAGGUAGAUAUAGGAAUUGUGUAGAAAAGUUGAAACUGGAUGUGUAAAAGUUGGUUUGAUUAGAUAUUCUUGCAUGGCUAUAUUUGGCAAAGAAAAGCUUGGUUAGUGGUAAGAUGAGAUUUAAAAAAGGAAAGGAAGUAGGAACAGAAAGAAAUAAAGAUUGGCACUGAAAUAGCACUGAUAGGACAUGGUAAACUUAUUUUUAGCAGAGGGCACAGAUUUAAAUAACACUAAUUUAAUGAUCCUCAUUCAAAUGCCUCAGAUUUCUCUGACACCAUCAUUUUUAAACCUCACGUAAUAUACAUUCACAUUUCACCACUCUUUUUUCAACUUCUUCCAAUUUCUAUCAGUUCUAUCAUGUGCAACAAAAUUGAACAAUAAUAAUAGAGCUGAAAUGGAGAAGUCUCUGUCAAAGGUGGUGUGAUGUAUGAACAGUAAUUUUUACUGUGAGUGUCCUCAUGCAGCAGGCACUACAGUAAAAUCAACACUGAUUUACCACCAUACCCUUCAACAGUGAAUUACAGAUUUGUUCAUUGUUUAUGUAUUAGUUGUGAUCUCAAUCAUGAUAAUGGCAGAUUUGUUGAAUUUAAUAGAGAUUAAAGGUGUGGUUAGUAGAUUUAAUUAUGUGAUUAUUAUCUGUACAAACUGAAAUACUAUAAUAAACUAAGAGGGUCCAGAUUGGAUUGUAAUUUUCUUUUUGUUUUGUUAAUGCAGUGAUUGGUUUUUGAACAAUUUUCUAAAUUUUGAUGCAGAAUAAUAUAGUGGCUGGAAAUAUAAAAAAGUAAAAGUGACAGAGACAGCAUCAAGUACUUUUUUCUAAGUUUGGUUACCAAAAUUGUGACAGGACAAAAUUGUACAUUUCAUUAAAAUACAACUCAAAGACUUGCACAAUUUUCUCUUAGUUUAUAUCAAUACAGAAAACUUUUCAUCCAAUUGUGAGAAUCAAAAGGGUACAACUUAUUUUAUUUCUCCAGCUGGAAAACAUUAUGGAAAGUUUUGAAAGAAGAAUUAGUCAAAAAAGUGUUGGUGGAAGGUUUUGUUUUCCCUUCUUUUUUACACUUUUUUUUUCUCCAGAUGUAGGAGUUAAUGGAAUAUUUACAUAGAAGGGUUUAGACGUAAACAUGGAAAUUAGGUAUACAUAAUACCAGAAUUAUACAAUGUAUAAGUAUAUGGAAAGUUGAAACAUUUGAAAUGAUUGCAUAACGGUCCUAACACGUGGCAUGUGAAAUCUAUGAAUUUUGAUUUACCCUAUUUAUAAAGGUUCAAACUAAUUGCACCCUACAUUUAUGCUAAUGUUCCAUUAUUAGUUAUCUUUCUUUCUUUUAAAGUUUUAUAUAGAGUUUGUGACCAUGUUAAUGGUUUUCACAUAAGUAUUAUUGAUUUUUUAAACCUGUUAAAUAUUGAACAAUCGAACAAUCGAGAAAGUUGAUAUGCUCGAACCAAAGGACUCUCUUAAUUCAAACACAGUUCGUAAAUCCACAGUUAAGCAUAGUUAAGUCGGUUUAAUUGUAAAUAAUGAUUAAGGUAUGAUGGGUCUCUCUUUUGAACCCACAAGCAGGCCCAUGAAAGCUGAAGCCCAUUCAAAAGGUAUAAAUAUCAAAAGAGACACGGGCGUCAAAGAUAAUUUUUUCUAUCUCGACUCACCUGCACAUUGUACUUGGACUAACUUGAUCGUCCAAGUGUCUUUGCAGGUUUCCUUCACUCAUCUCGAUGAAAAGAAUAAUCAAUCAGAGACCAUCGUGUCUGGAGACUGUGAAGACUAAAAGAAGGAGACUAAAGAAGUCAAUGUAGGAGGAAUCCGACUUGUAUGAAGAGAUAUGAAAAUAAGGUGCAUGAUUUGAUUUGAAUUAUUGGUGGAUUUGAAGGUGAAAUGGUUGUUGUAUGGUUUGAGAUUGUUGAGUGAUGUAUGUAGUAGGCUAAGACAUUUUAGUGAUAAAGGUUCCAGUUUUAGUUAGUGAAUAUGACAUGAGUGGAAGAUGAAGUUUAUUUUAGAUGGGAUUAAAAGAAUAUAAAGGUUGUUUGAGAAGUUGUAGCAUUUUGUGACGUUGAUGAAGGAGGGGCCAUUUCUGUCUUUCUCAAUCAUCCACUCAUCAAAAAAGUGGAGUGCCCAGUCACAUAACAGAUGCUUUUUCUCAUGCUCACCUCUGCCUGUGCUGGAUGGAGUAUUCUCUGUCCUAUUCUCUUCUCUAUUCUCUCCUGUAUUCUACCGUAUUCUGUUGUGUAUAUUGUAUGAUAUUGUACAUACAGACUAUAGCACAUUAACCAUCUCACCCACCCUGAACUCGUAUUUACUCUUUUUUCUAUUGUUUGUUGUGUUGCAAAAGAGUUAUGAACAGUGAAUGUGAUUUUGUGGUGAAUGAAAGGUUUGAAGGAGUGAAGAAACCCCAUUUGUUUUACGAGACCCCACGAGUGGCCUUUGUUUCUUCUCUCUCUCUCUGAGAACACAGCACAGAGCACAGAACACAGAGAGGAAGACAAGAGUCAAUGAAAACCCCACAAACUGAGAGUCUUAGUUGGUCCAAACACUCUUCAGAUUUAAAAACUCUUUCUCUUUCUUUCUCUCUCUGAAAAAGUUGAUCUUUCUGUGUCUAUCUAAAAAGGGAAGAAGAAGAGAGAAUGGAGUUGGAAGAGGAAAACAAAACAUGAUUCAUCAUCUCAUCCCAUUCCAUUCCAUUCCAUUACCAUCAAACAAAAAACAUACAAAAUAAAAAAAUAAACACAACAAGGUAAGACCCUUCCCCACCAAAUGGAACUAUCAGAUUUGCAAAACAACAAGCAGAACACCACCACCAACACCAACAACAGCACCAACACAAAAACAAACACAGUACGAGGUGGUGCUGCUGCUGGUGGUGCUGGUGGUGGUGGUGCCCAUCCCAACCAUCACCACCAACAAUCCUCUUCUUCCCAUCUUCAGCUCCCUUUUGAUGCCAGGACAAACCCUUCAUCCACCUUCCUCUCUUCCUCCACCUCUUCUUCUUCCACCAAUUCUUCCUCCUCUUCCUCCUCCGCCUCCGCCUCUUCCCACAUCAUCGACGCUUCCCUAGCCAUCGCCACCAUAUCUGAUGAUUCCGCCAACAAGACCCAACAGCUCUCCACCGCCGCCGCCGCCGCCUCCCCCGCCGCCAACCCUCCCAAGCGAUCUACCAAGGACAGGCAUACCAAAGUCGACGGCCGCGGCCGCAGAAUUCGAAUGCCCGCCACCUGCGCCGCCAGGGUUUUCCAAUUGACCAGAGAAUUGGGCCACAAGUCCGACGGCGAGACCAUCGAGUGGCUCCUCCAGCAGGCCGAGCCCGCCAUCAUCGCCGCCACCGGAACCGGCACCAUCCCCGCUAAUUUCUCCACGCUCAACGUCUCGUUCCGCAGCAGCGGCUCCACGCUGUCGGCGCCGCCGUCGAAGUCCGCCCCGCACACCUUCCACGGCGCGCUCGCACUCGCUCACCACCCUUACGAGGAGGCCUUUCAACACACCGCUUUGCUUGGCUUCCACGCUCACGCUCACCAGCAGCACCAGCAGCACCAGCUUCUUUCCGCAGAUCAAAUCGCGGAAGCGCUUCCCAGCGGUGGCGGCGACUCCGGCGACGGCUAUCUCAGGAAACGCUACCGCGAAGAUCUGUUCAAAGACGAUAACAUUAACACGCAAUCACAGAACGAGAGCGGCGACGGUUCUUCGCCGAAAACUCCGAACCUACAGCUACCGAAGCAGCAGGCUCAGCAGCAAACCGAAGCUGGUCCUGGGCUUCUCAGGCCCACGAAUUUGCUACCCGCGACAGCGAUGUGGGCCGUGGCACCCGCUCCCGCAAGCGGGCCUCCCGGCAGCACAAUUUGGAUGCUUCCGGUAACCGCGGCUUCUUCUGCUUCUGCAGCAGCUGUAGCUGCCGCUUCAGCUUCUGCUUCUUCUGGUGGUGGUGGAUCCACUGCGAGUUCGGAGACUCCGAUGUGGCCUUUUCCUCAGAGUGGUUUCAUGCCAAGGUUCAAUCUUCCGAGUGCCCUUGAAUUCCAAGGCGCACGUGGGGGUUCUCUGCAACUGGGGUCAAUGUUAAUGCCGCAGCAACCUUCUCAACAUCUGGGUCUCGCCAUGUCCGAUUCCAACUUCGGCAUGUUGGCUGCGCUCAAUGCUUACACCAGACCUGGUUUCAAUAUUAAUUCUGACAAUCAUCAUCACCAUCAUCACCAUCAUCAUCCCUUGGACCAUCAAAAUCAACAUCAACAUCAACAUCAACCUCAACCUAGUGAGAGUGGAGAAGAUGAUCCUAAUAGCUCCCAGUGAACUCUCAAAUUGGUUAGUUGGUUUCGUUUUCAUCUGUAGAUUCUGUGGCUGUAAAUAUGUCAAAAUUUCUAUAUAUAUUGUAUUUUUAAGUUGUAAUUUGAGGAGGAGGAGCUACAGUUUGAUUAUUGGAUUUCUGUUUCCCUUUUCUUUUCUUGCAGAUUGGAAGUUGAGUUGAAUGAAUUUGUGAUAAGUAAUGCUUUUGAAAAAUCCAUGGAUGCAUGCUAGCUCAUGCUCAUCACAGUUGAGUAGAUAAUUAGAUUAUGUUCUCUGAUUAUGCUUUUUUAUUUAUUAUUUACAUUUUUUUGCACUUCUUUGUUUUGUUUUGGAGAUCUUGGUAUGUUUGGUUUUGGUCCAAAGGGACUCAGACACAGAGAGAGUUUGUAUAGGAGGAAAUUUGUCUUGCUGUUUUUGUGUACUUUAUUUGCUUCUUCUCUUUUCUUUCUAUGUAUGACACCAUGAAAUCAAAUUAAAACAAAGGAAUUUAAAGGGAAAGAUUUGCUUGCCUUCCUUCCAUGCUCCUCAUAUAUGUUUUCUUUCUUGUUUCCUUUUAUAAUUCAAAUAUUUUCUACUUAUAAAAUGACAUAUACUUGUCUGGGUGAAGUUAUUAAAUGAAUUCAUUUGAAGACUUUGUGUUCCUCUUACAGCAGGAGAGUGCAUAAAUAAAGUGUGUUUGGCAUUGUAAGAUAAAUUAUUUUUCAGUAAAAUUGUAAAAUAAUUAGAAUGGCAGGAGACACUAAGCAAAGUAGGAUUGUCAGGAAAAAAAGGAGUGUGAGCCCAAAAUAUAUAAAUAGUAAUUCUUGGUAGCUUCAGUGUACAAAUCUCAGUUACAUACUUAUGUGUGCCUUUGAAGAAAAACUUCAGGGGGAUGUCAGAAGAUGGAAGGCAUUAAUUUCCUCCACUCUUCUUCUCACACUAUCAAUUUUUUUCUAAGAAUUUUAAAAUCAAAAUCAUCUGUUUUAUGGUAUGUGAUGUCAGAAAAUGAAAAAAAGAUACUGAUAGAAGAGCUGUGAUAUUGGUUUAUUGUGCAUAGGUUUAGGAAGUGAGAGGUUGGUUUGACAUUGAUGAUG
rnacentral:lncRNA from 1 species